AGGGUGGUGGUGGUGGGUGGGGAAAGAGGAAGAGGGAUUGGAAGCGAGAUCCGAAGAGGAUGCGAACCAACGCUUGGACCGGACUCAGGUUUUAUACGACCGGGGACAGUCUUCGGGAAGGGGCUUGAACGCCGCGCCAACACUGCCGAACUGGCUGGGCGGUGGGCGUUUGGUCGUAGACGACGGACGCGGUGCUGGUGUCGGACAUCGGCAACCAACACAUCCAGAACAGCGUGUCCGGGCCAAGCCGGACACUAUUCAUUCAACUUCCCGGCCGGUCUUGAGCACCCUACGGGUGGUGCGUAGGUUAAUCGCAGUGGGAAAUCCUUUGGAGGCCAGACAGAGAAGUCGAGCUAAAGCCCCAGAAGGCCGGAGAAGAAGUCUAGUUGUGGAAGCGCGGAGUGAGUUACCCCACAACAUAAGCGACGGAAGAAAGCACCGCACCAGGCAAUCAUCAGUCCAUCAAUACAUGUGUGCGCGUCUACACACAUCUUAAACGCCCCAGACUCCUAACAAUCCUGCCCACAUUCGUACGUAUACAUCCACCAAACCAGACAACGAGCACAGAUCGAGAUGGAAGAAAUUGCCUGAGAAGAGGAACCCGAACUUCGCGAAAGGCGCUAUGAACGACAUGAUGAGGCUCAGCGUGAGAGCGCCAUGUUUUGAACCUUCGAGUUCAGCACUUCAGUGUGCCACAUAAACCAUUGCCACAGUAUAUCAGCGGGCCGCGCAGGGUAAUAUGAACUAUACGAUGACUAGUUUCACAAAAUCUCACCACGCCGAUUCGCCAGUGGCGAGUCCUUAGAAUCCGCGCGAGCUCCCUUGUCUCCCUUCCAGCUCCUGCGGUGAGGUGGAGGCUGCAAACCCGUUUAUGGGCACUCCAAACACGCAAAUUCCGGCAGAGAGGGGUCCUUCACUUCAGAGGAGCCUAGAACGAGCUUGGUCGUCGAGGCCGCUGCCUCGAAGAUAAACCAGGCUAUGCCCCAUUGCCCGUCGAAUGUUUCUUUCUCUCAGCGUACAGGGGCGUGAGGCGCGCCACAAAGCGCCUUCACAUAGAAGCAAGGUGAGUGGCAUACUCAGCGGGUAGAAAAGCUCAGCAGUCGAGCACGUCCGGAAUUUCAAGGCGGCCGCAUGGGGUGCAGUACCCCAACUGGGCGAAGGAGACCUUGCGGUCUAUGGUGCGUAUGUAUGGCUACUGUUUGCGGCAGCGAGGAGUGUAAGGAAUGGGAGCUAGACGAGGAGCACAUGGCACGCAUGGAGGGUGUACGAGGUGAGCAGCGCUACGCUGGAGAUGACACCUUCUGUCUUAAGCAAGUUCCAAGGACACAGCAUGCGUGCAUAGAAUAGGCGAGCAUUCCGAAAAGAAAGGGCGAUAUGGUACAGUGGUACUGAUACAAGUUUCAUAGCUAAAGCGACAGACCUAUUGACCUGCGACCAGCGUUGCGUUGUCCGUGAGGAUCUUGUUGAGCCCCUCACGGUGCAGGCAGUUCGCAAACGCGAAGCUCUUGGCAAUCUCGUCGAUCUCCCCCUCGCUCUUGCCGCGGAAGUGCUCCGCCCACUCCUUCAACAGGAACUCCGACACGAGGAUGUUGCGCGCGAGGCGGCCGAUGCGGUCCGUCAGCUUCCACACGGGCGCGGGGUACAGCGACUGGUGCUCGGGGCGGAUCUCCUUCUUGAUGAGCUCCGUGAGCGGCUCGUAGACGUGGCGGACCUGCGAGUCGUCCGCGCCCCAUGCGUCGAUGGCCAGCCGGUGCUUCUUGGCGAGGAAGUCCUUGAAGAGCGUCAUGUACGGCGUCUCGCGCGAGACGUAUACCAUGCCCUGGAAGCCGAUGUCCUUGUACAGCCAGAUCGACCAACUGAGACGAUCCUGCAGGACGACACUUUAGUUAUCAGACACCUCACAGCCCGCGCGGGAAAUGCUAGAGACUUACCUUGUUAUAGAUGUCGAGUUGGUCCUUGAGCACCCGGUACCGCUCCUCGUUGAUCCCGUCCGUGAGGUCGCCCUCGUACUCCUUCCGCGCAUACACCGGGCCCCACUCGCCGUUCCACACGCACAGCCCGCGCUCGUCCAUCCACUGCCGCUUCUUCUCGUAGCUCCUCCUCAAGCGAUGCAGCUGCAUCUCGCUGCCGACGUACCGCUCCGGCGACGCGGGGAACCCGAACACCGAGUAGUCGUGGAUCGAGUACGCGACGUUCUCCCAGCGCUUGUGUGCGUCCCCGAAGUGCGAGAAGUCAGACGCGAACGUGUUCCCGUCGAGGAAGAGCGCGUGGUGCGCGUCGAUCGCGCGGAUCGCCGCGUACACGCGGUCGUAGAAUGCGAUCACGCGCGUGUGGUACGGGUCCGUGGGCUCGUUGAGCGGGUUGUAGCCUGCGAUCCAGGUGUUGCCCGCGUAGUGCUUCGCGAGCUCCUCCCACAGCCAGACGGCACGGUCCUGGAAGUCCUUGUGCUCCCAGAACUUGGCGAUGUGCGUGCCGGCGUCCGAGUGCCAGUCCGUGUUCUGGCCGCCGGGAGCGGUGUGCAGGUCAAGGAUGGUGUAGAUGCCGUGCUUCGCGCACAGGUCGAUGACCCGGUCGAGGUGUUUGAACCCCUCGGGCUUGAGGACGCGUGGGUUCAUAUCAUCUAAAUCCAGCGACGUUCAUCAGGGGGCAUCGGGCGCAUUAUGGGCGGUGAGAGCUCACCCUCGAAGUGCCUGUAGUUAAACGGCAGACGAAUGCAGUUGAGGCCCAAGCUCUUGAAGAACGCGGCAUCCUCGUCCUGGAAGAAGUACUCAAGGAACUAUGCACGCGAAGUGGGCGAUUUAGCUCGAUAAGUUGACCUCGUGUUAGACUGCUGAGCUCACCUUGUCGAAGAACAGUUCCGACUUCUCCUUCCCCACCACAUUCGCGAGCUCAGCGCGGAUCUGGAAUUCGCAACCGGGAUACCCUGUAGUCGAUCUCAGAUAUCAGCAUCGGGAUGUCGCACUGUAAAUAUGACAUCGAUCGCCUACCGCUGAUGAAGUUUUCCAUGCUGGAAGUUGUGUAUGCGUCAGUACCGCGGAACGUCGUUCAGGAAUAGUGACCCACUUCAUCCAGCCACCGAGGCCCGCGCCGCGCAGGAUGACCUCCUCCCCAUUCUGGUUGACGAUCUUGGUGCCCGAUACCUUCAAGUACGCCAUGGUGGUUGCGAAUGGAUGCGCAGGACACAUACACCCUCAAGUGCCACCGCUUAUAUAUGCGUCAUGCUCUCCCUGGAGCGCGGACCACAGUGGUUCGAGUCGUAGGUGCCACCGAGUAUUCGCCGAGAACACAGCUCGUCGUCGACUAAACCGCGCACAAGAGGCCUUGAAUUACCCGAUAUGGCAUUGCGAUCACCUUAUCGUCGGUCAUGGGUCGCAGCAGGAACCGCACGGUCCGGGGCCGCAGGUCUCUAUUUCGUGCGAGUCGGCGGCCUGGUGGAGUUGACUGUUCGCAUAUAUGAUUAGCAACGGCUUGGAGGGAGGCCGACGAGGAUACCCACCGCUCAUCCUACGUGGUUGAGAACCGAGCGGGAUCACCACGCCAUGGCGGGCUUUCUCAAAGUCGACAAGACACGGAUCGUCGAUGACGGGGGUAGGGAAGUUAUAUUGAGAGGUGCAGGACUGGGAGGUUGGAUGACGUGAGUGCCGGUUCUUCUUCGCGCAAUCAUGGAGUCGGUACCUGACGCUUUGCGGUCAGCAUGGAGAACUUCAUAUCAGGUAGAAUGCCGCGAUCCACUCACCAAUGUUCUGAGGAAACUAAGACAUAGAAAAGGAUAUCCCGGAUGCGAGUUCCAGAUCCGCGAAGCCUUGGCUGAGGUCAUUGGCCAAGAGAAGUCGGAGUACUUUUUCGACAAGGUAGGGGACGCUUUGAAGUUAGCAGUUCACCGUGCACCUUCAAACACCUUUGUUCACUUUCAGUUCCUCGAACACUUCUUCGCCGACCCCGAUGCAGCAUUUUUCAAAUCCCUUGGACUGAACUGCAUCCGCAUCGCAAUCAACUACCGCCAUUUCGAAGACGACCUGAAUCCCCGCGUCCUCAAGCAGUCGGGCUUCAAGCACCUUGACCGUGUCGUCUCAGCAUGCGCAAAACACGGCAUCUACACCAUCCUCGACAUGCACACCGCGCCUGGGGGCCAGAACGGCGGCUGGCACUCUGACGCCGGCACGCACAUCGCGAACUUCUGGAUCCACAAGGACUUUCAAGACAGACUCGUCUGGCUGUGGACUGAGAUCACCAAGCACUACAAGGACGAAAAGGUAGGGGGUCUCCGAACAAGCGACGCAUGUAUGAUAGCUGAAUGGUUCACGGAAGUGGAUUGCGGGUUACAACCCCAUGAACGAGCCCGCCGACCCGAACCAUAGCGGGCUCAUAAACUUCUAUGAUCGCGUCCACGCAGCAAUCAGGUCUGUUGACCCACACCAUAUCCUCUUCCUCGACGGCAACACGUACGCAACAGAUUUCUCCGGCUUCCCCGAAGACGCGGGGAUUCGCUGGACCAACACCGCGUACGCAAUCCACGACUACUCCGUGUACGGCUUCCCCGACGCCCCCGAGCCGUACACACGCACUGAAGAGCAGCGCACGCGCAUGACGAAGAGCUACGUGAAGAAGCGCGCCUGGAUGGACGAACGGGGGCUCUGCGUCUGGAACGGUGAGUGGGGCCCCGUAUAUGCACGCCCCGAGUACGAGGGCAACGCGACGGACGAGAUCAACGGGCGGCGCUACGAUGUCCUGAACGACCAACUCCAGCUCUACGCAAAGGUAAACCCCCUCACGCCACAGAGCAACCACUGGCGGGCUGAUUCAAUGCGGCACAGAACCGCCUCAGCUGGUCCAUCUGGCUUUACAAGGACAUCGGCUUCCAGGGAAUGGUGUACGUCUCGCCCGAGACCGCAUACAGGCAGCACUUCCGCGCCUUCCUGGAGCGGAAGUACCGCCUGGCCGCAGAUUCGUGGGGGGCCGACGACAGAUACGUGCGCGACACGUACGACCCGAUCGUGCAGCUCAUAGAGGAGAACGUACCAAACGAGCAGCACAAAAAACUCUACCCGUACCCCGUGUGGACGGUACGAGGCCGCGUCGCGCGACUGGCCCGGUGUAUGCUCAUUGGCGAAUUCUUGGUGCGAGAAUGGGCGGAUCAGUUCAAGGGAGCGUCUCUGGAGCAGCUCGACCGUCUGGCCGAAAGCUUCAAGUUUGAAAACUGCGUUGAGAGGGAAGGGCUGAACAAGGUGCUGCGGGAGCAUGCUGCGCAGGUGGAAUCAGGCUAAGAGAAACGUGAAGCUCAGAACAAUGUACAUGUAUGCUAUACUUUUGAUACCAUCGUCGUCCAGAUGCUUAUCGCAGUGCUGCAAACCUGUCCCUGGCCUUCGCGUUUCGUCUAAUGUCCUCAUCGCGGAGUUUGGAUUCCAGGGCAGAGAACAGCUCCCGCGCAUAUUUUUCUCCAUCCUGGACGGGCAUCAGCACGCAUUUAGGGUGACGGACAUAUGAGAUCCAACAAACCGCAAUGCACGACUUGAGGUACGCCAGAUCUAACUCUCCCGGGCCCGAUAGACGCAUUGACUGUAACGUGGGGCGAGCGGAAGAGGGAAACGAGAACAUCAGGUGAAGGCGAAGGGGUACUGAAGCUUCUUCAGUGAGUGUCGCGUCCAGGAGAUGAAUCGGCGGUAACUGCAUACGCCGUCAGCGCAUGUAUGAAGGACCAUGUGACCAAGGGGCACGUACGAGAUUCAAGGUGACACAUACAGGCCACCUCUCCUGGCCCUGCAAAAUUUCGCCCUCGUCCCAGUAGUCAGGAAGCUCGAAGUCGGCUGCCGUCCUCGCCAUGUCUCGGGUAUCGAAGCCGCUCGUUUCCUGGUCAACGUCCAUUGAGUCCAGGUUUUCCUUUGCAGCGGUCUUGGAGACUGCAGGAGCUUGAUAUUCUACGGCUCGCGUCCGGGGCACCUUCGUAUCCCACAGCGCGGCGCGAGCGGCCAUAAAGAGCGCGUCAACGAUGUUCCCUGAAUCCGCGAGGAUGACCGCGUCAAGGUUGAGCAGCCAUGCUCUUCGGCGAGGAAUGAUGGUCAGAUUGGAUGGGUGCAAGGACGGAUGUGCGAUCGUCUGUUGGAGGAUGACGGUAAGGUCGUGCUGGAGGUCGUCCAACGCAUUCGAUGAGAGGUGGGGAUACGCGGAGGGUGAGCUACCUUUCGACUAUUGAACACCUGGAAUGCAUAUGCAUGGCAGACGAAAGAAGGGACGCACCAAGUCACCGAACAAGCCACUCUGCCUCCGUCUACCCCAUCUCCAGACUCAACGUCCUCGACUUCGAGCUUGACCGCCGCCAGGACCUCCGUUCCCCCGCCCCCCUCACGCGCCAUCUUGCCAAUGUUGAGCUUCGCGCUCCCAUUUGCCAGGGGUGCCACGCCCGUCUCGAGCAGGACUGUGCGGAAGUCGAGCAAGGAUCUACCAUCCUCGCGGAGUGGUGGGGUCGUUUGAAGAGAUGCUUGGACAUAUGCGCGUUCUGACUUCGAGACCAGAGUUGCUGUCAUAUUAUCGAGCAAGGGUAUUAGAGAAGGGGGAGAAAGGGAAGGGGGAUGUAAGGCGCGCGAGAAAUACAACCACGAACGCUGGUGGCUGCGGUAAAAAGCCUUUGGGCGUUUGAGCUGCUGUGCUUUGACCCGGUGCCUCCUGACAAUAAGUAAUACCUGACAUCUCGACUUCGACCCACGAAACUCCGCAUUUCUUCAUAUCCGCCUUCUCGCUUCCUGUUCUCGAACGAGUCGAAUAAAUGUUUUCCUGUACAUUUGUAUAUGUAUUGUAUCCAAUCCCACCGGCAAUCCUUCAAAAGUAACGCGAACGUAGUCUCGGGGCUUGCAUCCGUUGCUAGUACAUAAUCGCCCUGUCGAGAUCAUAUCGUGCCGAUCAAUGCCAUCUAUGUUAUUUCCAGAGAACAGCCAACAAAUGAUGGAGUUCAUGGUCAGGACCGCGGCCUCCUUAACACCUGUAUUACAGUAAUAACUUAAAACCAAUGCCCCCGGUUGCCGCCGUCCCCAGCGGGCCGCGGCGCGGGGGCACAGGCGUUAAUGACACCUCAAUUGGAUUGAUUAGGCGCCGGAUUCUUCAACUUGAACGUUCCAACCAUCCAACUUGAACCCAGCCACUGAGUGCGCUGUAGGUGUUCGGGAAGCAAGUUGUGCACUACAUUGCAUAUCAUUGUGAGCAAAUACAUGUCCAAUUCUUAUGUGCACAUCUGGUGCUGAACCUGUUCUAUUACGACAGAACGGGAAAUCUCAACCACAACGCUGAUCCCGGUACGUUUGGUCAAAGACGCCCCACCCCCGUGUGCUUUUGUCCUAAUUAGUCGAACAAAGCAACUGUCUGUAAUCCGAUAAGGGAACCUAUAUAAAAGGACCCCUACUUCCUCUCGCCUAGUGAGUACCAACGUCAACCAUCAUGGUGGAUGCCUAGUCUCAACCUGACCCUCUCUCCGUUGCUCCCGCUGGCUCCCCUGGCAAUCACGACUCUGUCCAAUCCGCACAUCUUCCUCGGCCUACAACACCCACCAAUCCUGUCACCAAUGUCAUCGACCAAUUCCAUACGCCCGCCCGACCGGGUGUUGGCGUCUCGCAGCUCGGGCCUGCGCCUCCACAAGACAAGGACCUCCGCCCGUUCUACACCGCCGUCGAGAAGAUGCAGGGAAAUCUGCACGAGGUGUCUCUUGACGACAUGUUCAAAACCUAUCUGAACGGCGGCGGUCAGCCUACUGUGGAAGAUCUCAACGCUUUCACGUACGUUGACGAGCUUAAAGACGUAACUAGAGAGCUGGACCUGGGACCAAAGAUCGUGAGUUUUUCACAGUGUCAUGCCUCCAGUAAAUAUCUGACACAAUAUGGGUCAGUGCGUGAUGGGCAAGUCGGUCGCUGAACGUGCCGGAGACACGAUCCUAUUCCGGGACAUCUCUGCGGCUAGACAGAUGGACGAUAACCGAUCCUCCAAGAGCCUCAAACGAAGCUCGAAAGACCAAGAGGAGGACGAUGAGACAUGCGACGACCCGGGACAGAAGACUAAUUCCUCAAGCCGCGGGACCACACCCGAUGUCGCUGUCUAUAUCAACAACACCCGUACGAGGACCUCACUUGUUAUCAAUCCUGAACAUUACCGGAAGCAGACGAAAACGAAGAUACCUGAGGACAUCACUACCCGUCAGGACUGGGUUGCACACCGAUCAUGGAGCGAUAUAGUCGCCUUUUUCGAGGCGAAGAUAGACCAUAAAUUCUCUGCAUUCGAGUUUGCCCAUCCGGACUCACGCUUCGUGCGCGACAACACUGACAGCGGUGAAAAAUCUCUUGAUCAAUUCCUGGAAUACCUCGCCCAGGUUCUGGCUCACCAACACCGCACGCACCUCUUCGCCAUCUACAUUUUCAGGGACCAGGCUCGCAUCGUCUACGCCGACCGCUCCGGUGCGGCCGUCUCCGAACCGUUCCACUACGGCACUCGCGACCAUCCGAUGCUCCACAUCUUCUUCUGGAAACUCGCGCGCAUGUCCGACAAGGAACGCGGGUUCGACGAGACCGUGACCCUCGCCGCGGAUGCCGACGUCGCCGCCAUGCGCCAGUACGCAGCCACGGCGCCCACCGAGUACCUCCGCACGCAGGCGUACUACGCGCUCUCCGGGGACCCGAAGGCGAAGGCGGGCAAGCAGCUGAAGUCGCUCGAGUGGCCCAUGUGUCAGCUCUCCAUCGGCGGCAGGACGAUCUUCCUUGGUCGCCCGUCUUUCGCCACUCACUCUCUCUUCGGUCGCUGUACGCGAGGGUACCCUGUCUUCGAGAAGGUCGAGGAAGGCGGCGAAACGUCGUGGCACCUUCGCUUUCUGAAAGACUCCUGGAGAGUGAGGGAUACUAACGGUUAUAUCCGUCCGGAGCACGAGGUCUACGAGCGGUUGCGCACCAGGGGCGUGAGGGACUACAUUCCGACAUGUCUCGCCGGCGGAGACGUGCUUGACGCCAAUGGGUCCGCCCAGCUCACGAGGCUGCACAACAUUGGGGAACGCAAGCAUCCUCGUGGCCAUUAUCGCAUCCUUUUCGCUGAGGUGUACCGGCCUCUGUCUGACUUCAGCGACUUCCGUGAGCUGGCAGCGCUUCUCAGGGAUAGUCUCCAGGGUAAGUUCCUCUUGAAAUGUGCCUGGAUGUUACGAUAAUGACGACCACCGUUCAGGUCACAAGGACGCAUGGGAGAUGGCUGGAGUCCUUCAUCGAGACAUCAGCUUCAACAACGUCCUGAUUCACGAGGUUGUGUCGCAAGCGGGACAAAUCCGGCGUACAGGCCUCCUGAGCGACUGGGAUCUCUCAAAGUACAAAGAAGAUAUGUCAGCUGACAUGGAGCCGAGGAAACCUGAUCGCACGGUAUGUCAUGAUCCCCCUUCGCCUGGAUACUGCUCAUGCCCAAAUGGUCAGGGAACCUGGUACUUCCGCUCCGCGGUGUUGGGGAGAUACCCACGCAAGCCAUACGAGGUCUCUGACGACAUCGAGUCGUUCAUCCACGUCUACCACUACUCGGUUCUCCGCUUCCAUGAGACGGAGCAAACCAGCCAGUUGCAAGGCCUCAUAUCGGUCAUAUACGAACACGAUGAGGUCCGACCUGAAGACGGUGCUCACUUGGGAAGCACCCUGAAGUUCAGGAACAUGUGCUCCACGACAUCUUUCAUCGACCCUAAGGCCAACACGACACUGCACCUUGUCCUUGACUCGCUCGCCAAGCUUUAUUCGCAACACUACGCCGCCAUUGACGAGGAGGAGUAUGAGCGCAAAUACGACCCUCAAGUCAACACAACCGAGGACGCUCCCAGUCCAGACCGGGGCGAGGGCGAGGGCGACUCGGAGGAUGAAGACGAGGGGCCGCAGCUCAUGGCUACAUCGGGUGUCCCUUCGAGCGAUGUGCUGGCGAACAGAACUUUAGAACACCACAGCAAGUUAUUGGAGUUUUUCUCGAUAGUUGGAGACCCUCUCAAAUGGAAAUGGAAGAAACGCAAUCUGACGAAGAGCCAGAGGGACCUCUUCAAGCUGGCGGGAAUAGCGUCCGGGAAAAAUAACGCCUUCUCUUCGUCCAUGUAAUCAUCUCGGGACUUGGUACAUGUCCAAAAAAGCAGAGGGGGAACACUGGCUCUGUGCUUACUUCGGUCAGCGAGAACCAGGAAUCGGUCGAGCUCGAAGGGUAGACCUCGGAGGCCUCACGACCCGAUGAGGAUGUCGCUGGGCAAUCCGCUAUAUGUAGUGCUCGGGUUAUCUAGAUUCAUGGCACUGGCAUGGCGCAUAUUACCCCCAUUCUUUCCUGCUUGUCACUGCGUGCAACGCACGAUCAUCCGAGGCAUUCCAACAAUGCGUAGGGAGUCGGGACAGCCAGGGAAUUUCCGGAGUCUGACAUUGCGAUGCUAGUACGCUCGGACUUGGCCGUCUCAUGAAAUGCGUGAAGGUGGAAAUCAUGAGGGAACAAGACGGACCAAAAACAACUGCCAUUCGCGUAGAUAGAACAACGUCGCCACCCUCUCCCUACUUCCACGCUCCCGCAUCAGCUGCAUCUCCAUCUGUCCCUCCAUCUCCUCACGCCAUCUCCACACCAUGAACAACUUCCACGCGCACACCGCAAUCACAUUCGAAUUCCUCAGCUCGAGUCCGCACCCCACUGGACUGUCUCCACGAUGAUGCUGCACAUGAAGCUGUGUCAUCCAGUAGCUGACGCAUCCGUCGAUGUCGAGCACGCCUCGCUUCAGAGAGACUGGGUGUGCAAUGUCUUCGAUUGAGGGUAGUUCCCAUCGUACUCCCUCGAGCCCGCGACGAGGAGCGACGGAUGAGCCGACUGGUUGACGGUCUGCGAGCAUGGGUUGAUCGUGUCCAAGGGAAAACACGGAUGAAUGAACCAACGCAUGCGCCAAUUGAUCUGGCCAACUCGACCUCGGUCUCAUCCAAAAUAUCAGCUUCGGCAGUCUCCGCCACCAGCAGUAGUGGGCGCUUGCCCGCUCAGGCAGUCUCCUUCGAGUCUCGGGCUUGUCGACAUCAUCUACUGAGUUCUCAAUCUGGCCUGCUGUCUGGAAGACUGAAGUAAAUGGCCCUAAGCUGUUUCUUGAACGCCCUUAUACACACUAUAUAGUGCCCAAUUUCUGUUAUGGUGGCUGGCAACUGUCAACCGACCGCGCUCAGGCUGACAGUCAGCCUCCGAACUUAUACAAAGCUCCCCUCAUAGUUCGUAAGUUCACCUCUACUCUGUCUCAGUUUCUUUCUCCUCAUUGACUUUCGUUACUUAUCCCAAUCCGUCUCCCUUGCUGCCAUGGCGUCAAUCUUCACCCAUGUCAUCGCCCUCCCUCCGUAUGCCCUAGCGCUUUUCAUCCUCGUGGUCUUGUCCCUUCUCGGUUGCGCUGGUGCAUGGGUACUCCUGGUUCAUCGUCGCCGCUUCCGUCUCCGCAUUCCGACUACCCAAGUCGAGGCUCAGGUUCAGGUCCAAGUGCAGGUAGAGAAGGUACACGAUCCGACCCCUGCAAGGUCUUCGAGCUGGCUGGGGCUCCCCUUCACCCCAUCUACCACCCCGUCGCCAUCGGACACCUGGAUUCAAAGAAUCCUGAGAAGACGUUCCAGGGAGUCUGCCACCGUCGCUCCUCGUGAUGCUUUGCCCUCGGCGACGCGUGCCCCUUUUGUUCCACCACUCGACGGCAGUCAGCCUCCCAGGCCGGUCAAGAAGGAGUUGUGGCUCGCCUUUGACUCAGAAGCUACCCUCGCUACCCUCCGCAACGACCCGCUCGGGGAGCAUUAUUGCAAGGCUCCCUAUUGCGGUCUUGCGCCAACUCGGGCGGCACCAUGUACGCCAUCUCUCGUCGACGACAAGUCCAAUCCUCCGAGCCCAGUCUCCUUCUGGGAACCCCUCACGCCUCCGCUUGUCUCCGAGGAUCGUACGAGCGCCCCAAUACUGUCUUUUGGUUCCGGGAUUCUCGCUAGGCUUGCUCUCGAGAAGGACGAAGAGACGGACCACGCAUGCCCUUGCCCGCGCCCCGCGCCCGAGGGUAUGCCGCUCUCCCUGCCCUCCACAUCGAGCUCUGUCUGCACCCUCAUCCAUGACUCUCCACCUCUCUCUUCCCGAAGCCGCUCCCUCUCUUCGGAACAAGAGAUGGACUCGGACACCGACCUCAAGGUCAGCUGCAAGCGCCUCGCAGCCCUGAUCGACGCCAUCUCCGUCUCGUUCUCAGCAUCGACUCUUGGUCCUCCCUUCAGCAGACGCACCACCAGAGUCGGCUUGGGAGACAGUGGCUACGACUUGGGUGACGAAUCCUUCAGCGACGACGAUGACUGCGACUUUCAUUUGGGCGAUGACGAUGACGACGAUGACGACAGUGAGUGGGACAUUGGAACUGCUAAGCUCCAUGGGACGGCUCCGCAGUGCAACUACUCAGUCCUUGCGAUCUGAAUGGUACUCAUCCCUAGGACACGCCCCCUCCCGACUGAUCCCAAACCCCGUGCAUUGAACCGACAACUUGAAACACCCCGUGAUGAUUAGCAAGACCUUGACUUCUUACUGACUGCGACGAUUCUCCACCAAUGUACGCGUUGGAUAACUCACUUCACAGUGCCGACUGACUUCUACUCUGUAUCGUAUCUGUAUGCAACAGAAGAGCCUGAAUUGAUUGCCGGAUUGUACUUUCAAAGAGGCAUCCCUCAUGCAACUGACGUCGCUCUCUGACUCCGUUUCUCAGGUUCGUGCACGCACUCUCAAGCGUGAAACACGCAUGCAAUCGGGGCAGCACAGUCAUGCCGCCACCGAUCCCGCCUUUCCUCGUCUCAGACCAUGCUCCCAGAUAGCGAAGCGGCUUCGAAACACGACAUCACAAGCGAGCCAAAGUAACGAAAUAUGCAGUCCCUUGCUAUACAAUGACACCCAAUGAUGGUUACAAAGUUCGUGUGCAGUGCAGAAUAGUCCGUGACUCAAAGUUGUUACAACAAAUCCGAUGAGAGUCCAUAUCCAAACCUGAUAACACCCGAACUUCCCCCGUGUGGGGUGGAGCGAGUGGCGCAGAAGCCUGAAGGGCCACAUGUCAGUGGCACUGAAGCCUGCGACAGAAGCUCUCACGUUAGCCCCAGACGAAGCGUCGCUAAGCGCGGACUCGUAAAGACACAAUACUUACCAUCCACUACAUCCCUACAGCAUUCACAGCCCGCAAGCCGACGCGGCGACCUGGGUCGCGUCCGCGUUGACGCGCCCGAGCGCGGCGGCCUGGUUGUUCGUGAGCGAGUUCAUCGCCGCGAGCGCGAUGUUGAAGCCCGCGCCGGCGUGGUCGACCGCGAGCACGUUGAUGCUCUUGCCGUUGUACGUCAGCUUCCAGCACGUCCCGCACGCGGCGUCGUUCCAGCCCGCGACCGCGGCCGCGCCGCCGAUGUUCGGGAAUUGGGGCAGCGAGCCGAACGAGCUGAAGCCCUUGGUGAUGAGCCCGUUGGUGCCGUCGGAGCACGCGACGGUCGUGAGCGACGCGCUCGCGUUGUCGUACGUCUCGUCGUACGAGACCGUGACCGUCGCCGCGAGCGUCGUGGAGGCGGCGGCGAGGAGGGCGAGGGCAAGGGCCUUGAACUGCAUCGUGAGUGGUGAGUGGCGAGGAGCGGGAUGUAGAGACACGAAGCAGGGGGUGAGCGAGAGGAACGCGAAUGCAGGUGCAGGCGAAUGAGAGAGACCGUUGGUCACUGCUGGUUGAUCAGGAUGGAUGAAGGCUCCCUUAUAUACCUCCACAACACCGAACAUCGUCCGUCGUCCAUCUGCAAGCUAUGCGCUCCGGUCGGCGUCGAACCGUCCAGACUUCACGAAGCGUGCAUCCUAUCCGAGGUGCGGCCACGCGUCACGUUGUACAAGAACCUCUGCUACCCGAAUCGAGGCGGCCCGGGGAAAGCCAACCAACCCCAUGAGAACGAUUCACGGGCAUAGACUCACCGCCUGGGGCUAAGAAGGCCAUCGAAGCUAAGAGGCGGAUCACCAAUAGAACUUUACUUGACACAUCGACCAAUUGCGUAGGAGAAACGGGCUUGAACGACGUAUGGAUUGCCUAGCAAGACCUGGCGGAAAGGUAAACUUGUAUACAUGAAACAUUCCUACUGCACAGACCAUAAUUCAGACUUCUGUGCAGGUUAUGUGCAGGGUGAACUGGUCAGAGGGAGACCUCAGGCCGCCCCAUAGGAUCGUUUCUGUAAUAAAUGAACCUUCAGGUUAUAGCACUGACAGGGCCACAUAGGGAAACAGUGACACGUCGAACUCGUGAUCCUUUGUGAAUCUGAAGGUCUCUGGGGAGAUGUGGACAUAUACGGUCUUCUCAAGACGUCCAAAGGCUCCCUAGAUUGGAAACGUAAAUGUCGGCACCAAGACAUCAGAAAUAACCUUCACAAGAAGCUCACCCCGACACCACGAGGCAAAGCCGUCCCUCCAGCCCAGGCGCGUUUUCAGAGUAGGCUACGACACCCCGUCAUAUAUCCGAGACGCGCGCUGCUGGCGAGCUUUCAGAAGGUCCUGGGAAUGACUAGUGAAGAGGCCAGAAGAGAAGAGAAGAACUCCGCACUCACCAUGGCACACACGUCGGUCUGCGCGCCAGUGCGGACUUCCGGGCCGCCAUCGGCUAACGAAUAGUAUGUCAUACUACCACACCAGUGCGAAGCCGGCGGAGGGUACGUAAAAAAGUCUACAUAAAAACAAACGCGUACACUGCUACGAAUUCAGACCGCGGCUCGAAGCACCGAGGCAUGUCGGGGUAGUCCGUUGCAAAGCCGAAGGCGCAAACAAAGCUGGACUUGAAUCCACCGAGUCUGACCACCGUGACAGGAGAGCACCAUGUAAGCACGCGUGGAUCCAUUCUUGAGAGUGGCCAUGACAGCCAUGGUAGGGAUGCUAGCGAGUCACUGUCACAUAGAACGACGAGCAAUAGAUCAACGUCCAGUUGGUUUUGAAAAUAGCAGCGUCGACAGCAUCGGGAUAGAGGACCACAAACAGCGCGACAACAACGAAGAGAAGCAAGACACCCCAGAGAGACAGACAGCUAGACAACCGAGGAUACUAGUAACGAGACAACCCAAAAUAACCUGAUAGCCAGACCGAGAAAUGCGGAACGAUGACUGUUGGCCAGGUGCCCUCGAAGACGAUCGCGGAGGCACUACGGGACCCACUGCCGACGACGCUCUUGACCAAGUCGAUGGAGGGGUUACGCGCCAUACAUAGCGUCCUAGUAGCUCCAGGAGGACUCGAAGUCACGCCAGGCUGCGUGAAAGAGCAGGACGAACGCCUGGCCCUCGGGGCUGUACUUCCCCGGCGGUGACGGCGUGUCGAACGUUAAGGGGUCCACGGUACCGAGCAGCCAGCCGUCUGCGUUCACGCUCGCCUUGACGAGCUUCAGCGCGCGGUACGCGUUCGGGAGGUGCGCGUAGUCCCCCGUGAGCUGCGCGUAGCGGAUCGAGGUCGCGCCGAGGAGGGCGGUUGAGGAUGUGUCGGCGAACGACGUGUCCUGGUCGAAAUAGUUGUAGAGCGUCCCGUUCGCGUGCUGCGUGAUCCACACGACGUUCUAGUCAGUACGAUUCGGGGGCAGUCGCAUGGAGGAGCCUGACCUGGAAAGUCCACGCCUGAAGCAGAAUCUCGUUGAUCCACGCCGCGAGGUCCGCUCGCUCGGCCACGAACUUCUCAGCCUGGUUGGAGCGAGUGAUGGUCUCGAGGACACGAAGUAUACCAGCAGCAGCCCAGGCGUUACCUGGGAGAUUGGCGUGAGGUCGGAUUACGUCUAGAGCACGAGGAAGGCUAGAUGGGGGCUGACGCACCGGUUCCCCAGUGGUUGUUGUCCUGCCAAGAGCCGAGCACGACGUGCUUCCACAGGCCGCUCUCGUCCCUCAGGUGCUGGCGGUAGAGCUUGCAUUGGCGGUACGCCUCUGCAAGGAGCGUGGCGCCCGCAUCGCCCCCCUCGACCGCGCCGUAGUACGCGAUGAACGGCGGGGCCAUGUACACGAAGUCGGCCCUAAUCGCCCCCAAGUAAGCGUCCACGUAGCUGACGAAAACCAAGGCAUGGGAAUGUCCCCUACCAGAGCUGAACUUCACUGUCACGCUGGGAGAUGGCGCCGUCUUGGGUGCGGGGAGCCACGUUGAGCAAGUACUGGAGCUGGCUCUUUGCGGCGUCUGACAACCUGUGGUCGCUGGUGUUGGUCCGCGUAAGAUUUACAACGAGUAUAGGGACACCAAUGCCUAGCAGACGACAAGGUGAGUACAACUGAGCGUAGACCAGCGGAGCACACUGACUCGCGGGAUCCCCAACAGCGCCGUCACCAUCCACGAGGGGACCGGUCGCGGAAGGAUUCUUGAUAUUGUUGACAAUACUGCGUAUCGGACGUCAAUCGCACAACCGCACGUGACGACCUGAAACUAUCAUACGCGUUGACCUUUGCAAACACGUAAUCCGUCGGAUCGGGUUUGGGGAGGUGGGCAGGAGGGGUGGUUCCAUGGAAGACGGACAAGGUCGGCCAGUCCAACUCCGUCAGGGCUUCCAACGCCGUCCCGAUCUCCCAGCUGUAUUCCAUACGAAUGAGACGGGGGACAACGACGCUUGGACGGAGCGCACUCACCUGUGAGUAGCAAUCGCCUCCAGGUUCGCCUUGACCUUCACCAGCGUAGCGGUGCUAAAGCCUUGAGUCGACUCGAUGGGGUCGGCGAGGAUCCCCCAAAAAGCGGCGCAAAGGGUAAGCACAGGGCCGAGGACCAUGUCGACGUUCAACCGCUGGCCUGACUUGGCAGGCGAAGGAUAGGUGGAACUCGUGCGAGUGGCGACAAGGACAAGGUGUCCUAGAAGCACUCCGCGUCUCAAUGUGUGUUGGUCGCUGACAACGUUAUGCGAGAGGCUGGAUAUCGGAUGUUAGCCUCCGAUCAUGUGCAAGCCACACUGGAAAAAAUUACACUGUGACACGGUGGGCAGGGCAAGAAGGGAAGCCAAGUGGAAGAUGAAAGGACAGUGCAGCGCGAACUGAUUGUGGGCGGGGGGAUUUUUUGACGAUGGUUCAGAUUACACAAGAGACCUUGAAGCUGGAAUUCAGAUAAUCCUUCAUCGCCGUAUAUUCUAAUGGACGAACUGUUAGUUAUUGUGUGUCAUAGUUGUAGAUAAUUCUGACGCACCUUAUUCCGUAUCAUAAAGCAAGGUGUCACCAUGCGAGAAAAACAAGAGUGGGGUUCAGGACCCAAUCCAUACCAUCCGACGGUAGCAGCCCCGAAGUCGGCGCUUCCGGCACAAUUCCGCCCAGUGACUGUAUUACGCGGUUCCCAGCUAUCCACCCUGCAGGCUACCACAGAACUGGGCUUUGAGGACUCAAAAAUUUACCGGGAAGUCGAGAUGAAGGCCAUAAGUCUACCCCUCUCUACCGAUGGUCAAAAAUACCAACUUAGUCAACACGUUAGCAGCGGCGAGAUAUUGCAUACACGUACUCGGUUCCUUGUUCCAGAACACAACAUAACCCAUAGGGCGUUCUCGAUGACCAGGUAAUGCCACCGAGGGUAGCUUUCCGGUUUCCGUGCACCCGCAAAGCACCUCACCAAGGAACGCCGACCAUCGCACACUGAACAAUCAACCUCCGCUACGACAUUAUCAAGCAGUCAAGUCAACUGGUAUACUCACAGAAGUACCCACGUCCGGCGGCCUUGCCUUCGGCUUUCACUCUUCCGCAUCUAGACCCCACAGCAGGGGUGCAGCAAGGCGUGCUUUACGUGAGGGCAGAGAAUGUGCCUUUUGUCCGUCCUCGCGCAUCAAACGCGCUAUCGCCGUGGCUAGAGUGUCCAGAACGGGUGGGGUAAUUAAGAGGCUCUGCCAAGAAAACCCUGGAAAAACUUGCCUCGGGGACGGGAGGGAAGCGACAGGAUAGGGGCGAACUUCGGCAGGAGAGCAUACAUCCUUCAGGCGAGGAAGAACGGCGUGAAGUACAGUAUCUGCAGGCUCCUCAUCAGUACAACCGCGUACCUCUCAGAAGCUGCGGGGAACAAACAUUUGAAGCCGACUGCGUCCCACGGUGGGACCUCUGUACGCCUCCGUCCUAAGAGGCUUCCAUCCAUUGUCGACGUUCCUGGACGUCUAGGUCGUGGAGCUCCGCGGGUAGGGGGAAAAUGAGAGCGGGGUCCGCCGAUGCCGUACGUGUCGUCAACACGAUGUUAUGUUUUCUUCCGACUGAGUCGCGAACGCGGGAACGACAAGUUCGAGAGUAAGGAUCGGCCGAUACUUAUUCAAGCUGUGUCCCUCCUUUCGCUGCGGAGUCCGAGGCGGCCACGCGAUCUGACCUGCCCUAAACAGACGCGUUGGGCGCUUGAUAACAGUGCUGGCUGUGCCAACGCUCGCAAAUCACUAUUGCUGACCUUAUCGGGGCCAAACAUGCAAGCCAAGCACAUCACCUCACGCCACCUACUUACCUCUUUGAGCACACGCAAACAAGAUGGUGGCACACUAGCACUGCGGUGGUUAUCAGUUGGUUAUCUAUUUGGCCCAUUAUGGUCGUCGUGGUUCAAAUCGCUGUGGCAUAGUUUGAGCACCAACGCCAAUCACUAGCAAAUAUGACAACACAACUUCGCCUUUCGUGCGACUUGUGCAGCGAGGUGCUCUUUAUGGCCACAGUAACCCCGUCAUCCACAGUCUAUUGACGCCAAGGUGCCUAUUUGCUGCUGUAUGCGCGCCCAAGUCAUGGCGACUAGGCUAUAGAUCUAGUGCAUGGUCUCUCUAUAUGAAGAUGUGUUCUAAUGACAUGCGUGUAAUGACGAUAUAAUGAACGCAGAAGGAACAGCAAGAACGCAAUUGACAGGGCUCGAAAGCGUACGACCCAAGCCACCACAGCUCCACUGGGUCCCUCUACCCCGUUUUCGCCUUCAAGUGCUUCCAUAGCGUCAAAAACAUCGCAUACCCCACCCCCACAUACGCAAGCUGCACCCCGACGUACGUCAGCAUACCAAUCUUGACGCCCGACCCGCCAAACACCGCGCCCGUCACCCGCCCCGUGUAGUUGCUCCACUGGAUGAACAGGCUGAUCCGCCCGUUCCACUCCCCGGGCAACUGCUUCGACAGCAGCGACAGCGUCACCGUGCUCGCGAUGUUGAAACCCAGCGCGACGAGGAACCAGCACAGCCACAGCGUCCCGUAGCUCACCCGGUGCGCCUUGAGGAUGCCCAUCGCGAUGAGCAGCCCCGCGACGCCGACGGACGUGCCGAUCGCGAGCGUGUGCCGGUCCUGCACGCGGCGCGCGAAGCCGAGGUUCAGGAGCAGGAACGGGAUCGUGCAGACGCCCCCGAGCGCGAUGAGGUUCCCCGCCGCGAAGGGCGAGAAGUGGAACGGGUUCGCGGGGUCGGCCGAGCUCGUGAAGACGGGGAUGUUCGACUCCCACGCGCCGAGGAUGAAGAACGUCGUCAUCGCGAACCAGCACAUCGUCGCGCACACGCCCCACUGCUGCGCCGUCAUCUUGUGCAGCGGGGAGGCUGGCGGCGGAGGAGAGGGGGACGGGGAUGGGGGCGUCGACGGUCCAGAGAUGUCGCCGGCCGUGACCUCCGUUGCCGUGGACGACCCACCCUUAUCCUUGCCUACCUUCUCGCGGGUGGACAGCAGGGCGAAGAUGGGGCGGAGAGAGAUGGGCUUCUGGGGUGUGCGGGGGACGUCCUCGAACCAGAUGCAGACGGCGAUCCAGAACAAGAGCCAGCAUGCGGCCAUGACCCACGCCGGGCUCGUGUACCCAUUGAAGAUUGGGUUCUUGAAGCCGACCUUGAAUCUGUUUUGACCUCAGCGGUCAGAUGGGAGGUCGAACGAUAAUGGGCACUUACAGGAGACCGCCGAAGAACGGUCCGGAGCUGAAACCGAGGCCUUGGCCGAGAACAAGCCAUCCGGCAAGCGUUGUCCUGCGACGAAUGCCGACGAUCCUGGGGUCCGAACAGUACCGCUUGUUGUACAUCCAGAACGUGAAGCCAAAACCGCAGACGAUGCGUCCGAGUAGGAUCAGGUAGAGCCAAUUUGCGCGAUAAGCGAGGCCGUACAGCACAUUGCCGACGACCAUAGACGCGCAGGUGAGGUGCAGCGGGCGCUGAUAGACACCUGCCAGUGCGGGGGUGCAAGUUAGACCAACAAACCUUGUGCCAUGCUAGUGGCCGACUGACCUUGGUCUAGGCGCAUAAGUGGGAGGAGGGUGAGGCCCGAGACCGCGGUCGGGAUCCCAAUCACCAACCCGGAGAAGGUCGACGACCCUCCGAGAUGUUGUGCGUAGUCAUUGGACGACGACACGAUGAUGAAGAACGUGAUCUGAAUAGAAAGAGUCCGCGGUCACUGCGGAGCCGUCAACGUGUGUCGACUGGAGGUAGGACGGACCUGGAGCAGCACGUUCGACAAAAGGACAAUGACGAGCGACGCGGUCUUUGGCAGCUUCAGUUCCUCGUCGAUCUCUGGGCUAAUGGUGGUCUCAUCGGCCUGCCUGUCGUCGGGUUGCGGUCCAGACCCUGAUGAUGCUCCCGCGCUGUCUCGGAGAGAGGGCAGCCUCGGGGGUUGCGUGAGGUGUAGAACAGUGCGGGGAAGCCUGAAACCUGGCAUGAUCUCCGGGCUGAAUCAACACACCGCUGGGAAGGGGAACGAGACCGACGCUAUUCCAAAGUCGCUGGGAAGAUAUCAGUGUGGUUGGCGUCAACUUGCGAGCAUUACGGGAAGCCGGGCGGAACGCCGACCAACUCGUGAGGCUCGGCACCGGGCCUGCCGGUGGGCACGGUACCUCCGUUCGAAUCUUGGUGAUGCCGGUUUCCCAAACACCCGCUCGAUGAAGUCACAGCUUUUUGCCAAGGCACACAUGGAAGACAAACAUGAAAUGAAAGGCGUCCUGCUGACGAUCGUCGAGAAUACGUGCAGAUCGUCAUUGGCGUCCAUGAUUUGUCUCGGCGUUAGAGUGGUUGGACAUAUCUCGGAGUCGAACGGGCGAGUAGGCGCCAAGAGAGGAUAUUGCGGCGGUGCCCCUGUUCCACGACUUGCGUUCUGCUACCAGACCAAAAACCGCAACUGCAGUCCUCCACGUCCGGUCUCCGACAUCCAACGUGCGAGAGUCCAUACAACGCCCGAGCUUGCCCAAUUCACUUCUACGUAUGAUGUCUUAUGACGCAUCCGAUGCAUGCGUGUGCGUCAUGAUAGCGGAGCUGCCGGCAGCUAUCGAAACGUCCAUCCUAGCUUCCUGUACGUUUUCACUCCACAAGCUUAAGGUGAUUUGCCAUCUGAUCAAGAAUAUAUUCACGACAGUAACUUCGCAGCCUGUGGUAACAAUGUUUCGAGUCCGAAAACUCCAAUUUUAAUAGACCGCUAACCGACAACAAACAAGCAGCUGCGACUACAAUCGACCAAGAACAGAAGGUACUGUACAGUUAUACGUGAGCUCGUCGCGGACAUUGUCUAAUACAAUACAGAACGUGAUGCUCGGGUUUUGCUCGCUGAUGAGACCCUCUACAGCCCCGCCCAGGCCCUACAACCGCGCCGAGAACCGCCCGUGCGCCUCCUCGUGCUUCGGCGUGAAGCCCUUCUCCGUCUGCAUCGCCGUCGGGGCCUUGUCGAGCAGCGCCUCCUCCACCAUCGCCAGCACGUCCGCCGCGCACCCGAACGAGAGCGACCACCCCGCGCCGCCGUGUCCGUACGUGUGGAUGAUGCGCGAGUGCUUCGUGAGCGACUCGCCGACGACGGGGCGGAGCUCGCGCUCGACGCGCACGUUCUGCCGGCGGAACGGACGCAGUCCCUGCGAGAUCGGGUAGUCGGGGUCGAGCCGCGCACGCUUGAGCUGGGGCAGGAACGCCUCCGCCCGCCCGCGCAUGCGCUUGAUGAUCGGUGUGUCGAGCGUGUAGUCGAGCUCGCCCUUGUGCGCCUCGGUGAUCCCGCCGAUGAUGAGGAUCUUGUCGUUGCGCGGCACGAGGAACACGAUCUCGUUCGCGACGUCCGCCGAGAUGCUCAGUGCCGCGUCGAUGACCGGGAAGUCCUUCCCGUCGUUGAUGACGCGGAUGAGGCCCCCGCGGAUGGGGUAGCACGAGUCGUCGCCCGCAAGCUCCGUCCCUGCGAUGCCCGUCGCGUUGAUGAUGAUGUCGGCCGCGUACUCGGCGCGGAGGGCCUGCUCCUGCUCGAGCAGGUCGCCGUGGAGGGUGCGGGUGACGAAACGGGCACCCUUGCGCUGGACGAGGUCCAUGAGCCAGAUCAUUGCGCGGUCAGUGUCGAUGACGGGGACGAGGAGCUCGUAGGCGUCGACGGCGCCAUAGUCCUUGUUGAUCCCGCGCUCGUUGAUGAUCGACGGCGUGUGGCGGAAGCCUCGGACGCCGCUCGCAGCGAUCUCCUUCAUCUUCGAAAGCUGGUUAGCAUCGGUUUCGACGCGGAAGGGGAAGAAGAAGUCGGAGGGCUUGACGCUGACGCCAGCUUCUCGUGCGAGAUCGGGCUUGGCGGCGAUCGCGUCCCAGAUGUGGUAAGAGACCAUGCACCACUUGCGGGAGUGCUGGAGCGAGAUGAGGUCGGUGUGCUGGCCGCAGACAGCCGGCGGGUACUCCCAGAGGGCACCGGCGAUCUGGGAAGUCAGUCGCUGCUCCUUGCCGAACGUAGCCCACUCUUUGGCGACGACCGUAACGUGGUAGCCCUUGUCGAGGAGCGUCCAUGCGGUGGUGAGGCCGAUGACACCUCCACCGACGAUGAGAACUCGGGGAGAGUAGGGGGUUGCAGGCUCGAGGGGGACGGGGUUGGGGGAGAGGUCCUUCCAGAAGACGAGGGGUUGAGCGUUGAUGGCGGCCAUUGUGUGUGGGGAAUGAGUUGAAGGUGUAUGUGUGAGUGGGAGGAAGAGGAGGAGUGUGUUUUGGGGUUGGUGAGACGGAAGGUCUGUCAUCCGAGCCUUUUAACCUCUUCUGCGCACGCUGACGUUCCAUCGCUACGUUCACCCGUAGCGCUCUACAGGCAGGUAUACAUGUCCAGCUUGCUUUCGCGCGGUUCGCCAAAUCUGACGGCGUCUGUGAGUAUGUCGCAUUUCUCCACGAAAUUGACAACCGGUGACCAUCCAGUGACGAACGCUCCCUUGCGAUCUCCCAUCAGAGGAAUGGAGACGCCCAGAAGGACGAUCUCCUCCCGACUCGGAGACCCUCAACCUGGACCGUUCUCGAGCGAACUUUGACUGCGGUCUUUGUGACUCUCUGCAGCACCAUACGUCCGUUACAAUUUCUUCUCCCUCUAACAUAGGUUCACAGCCAGUCACGAUGCUCGGGAGGUACUCCAUUUGGCAGGAACUCAUCCCGAACUGUCAGCGUGUGGAUAUAUGGGGUGGUCAGACAUACGGGCAUAUAACUCAAGUAUGCCGUGGGUACCCUCUUCUGUAUUCUAUCGCUGCCAUGGCAAACUGACAAAUUCCCUGCGAAGUGCGAGGCGCGUGUUGCGAAGAGCCAUAUCUUUAGAGAGCCUGGUCUGACAGGCCCAACUGACGUGCGAAGCUGUGAGGUACGAGGGCUUAAAUCGUUCAGCAGUAUUAGCAGGCCGUCUAACAUCUUAUCCCGGACGUGUGUGGGGCAUCGGGACAUCACAUUCAUUCCUCCGCUUUUUUCAGAAGGACUUCAUGUCAGGAUCUGCUUCUUCUAUUGAGUCGCUAACGUUGGAUCAACGUCUAGCGGCAACGAGUACAUACCGCCCUACGGAUGCGGAAAUUUUCUGUUCUGGCGGCCAACCGGCGGAUGCAUUUUCCAACAUAUGCCUCCGAUGCAAUCCGACAGCCGUGAAACCUUGUGUCCAAACGCGAAGAAAACCAAGAACCAGGGCGUUCCAGCCGCGCCGUUGGAGGCUGCUGCUGCCUGUGCCCGUCAAGCCAUCAGCUUGUCAACGAUUCAACAAGCAUCUGCCAGCGUGCGAAGCACGGGGUAUUAAUAACAGCCGAACUUACUACAUGGGCGAACUUGGCGUGUGUCCUUGGAUCCUAUUAACAUCCAAACGCUCGGUAUGCGCUCGUGGGGUUUGAUCCGUAAAAAGGUUUGCGGACAAGGGCUUAACGUACCUACUUCCGUCGCACAUUUUCUUGCGUCAGGUUCGCGCCAUCACGAACCACGGCGGAUGAAAACCAGGUCACGGUAACGUCUUAGCAUUGUUCAUAUGACCGUUGUCGGGCGUGGGUUCGUAGACCGCAGUGUCGGUUGGCGGCCGAAGCUUGAGCCACUGGAGCGACACGAGGGGUCGUGGAGGCUCAGUGUCAGGAUCAUUGUUCCGCUGUCGCUCCGAAUCAGGUCAAUUUCCAUUGCCACAAUAGCCGCGAGGGCAGCUUUCCCCGGCCUCCAUUUGUAUAGAACUUUUCUUGGAUUUCCACGUCGAUCAAUCUAUAGGGUGAAAGGAACUCCGACUGUGCCGCAGAACGUACAGGCACAGUAAGAGACCUCGGGUUCAGUCCAGGCAGCCCAAACGUAUUAAGGUUACUUCCGGCUUGGCCGGACGGAAGCGUCAUCCGCGAACACCUUCGCGCCUGACGGUGACAACGCGCGGGGGAAGCUGAACGACUUUAGAGGAUUGGAUAUGUUCAUCUGAACACUGCAUGAUCAGUCGCCCAGAGCGAGAUCCGGGCUAAAAUGGUGCAAUUCUCGUAAACAAAAGCCGCCGUGCUGUUUUUACCAAAAGGGUCUACCUUGCAUUGGAAAUCGAGAUGGCUCCCACUCACCGUGGCUGUUCCGCUAAGUUCGGCGGCUUGCGCCGCAGCGGCGAAUCGACCCCGCCACUUGAAAAGCCAUCGCGUAAAUACUGAGUACGUAUACGUGCCGCAAGGCCUUUGGUUGAGGAACGCUUAAGAGGAGCGAGGGAAACCUCGUACAGACUGACUGCGCGCGGGUGGCUCUCCGGGCUUGUGGAUACAUUUAGAAGCAUAUUGAACAGGUCCCGAACUCCAGUUUCCUGGGCAUUAUACCUCAACGUACACAUUAUGUAGGUAAAUGUCUAGCCGAUGGCGUCCUCAGUCAGCUGCAGGCUGUAGAGGUCUUGUGAACGAACCUAUGAGGGCCUAUCACCGGCCAGAAAUGAUAUUGUGACUGAGUUGCGAGAGGAGUUCGACACCAUUUAAUGAGAGGCACCGUUGGAGGCACGGUCUCAUGACCACCUGAGAUAUCGACGGUGAUUUAGGUCAUGGAACGAGAAGCAAAGUGAACGCCUCCAGCCCCUGGGCUUCUACCUGGGGUAGGGGGCGUAUCGCUCGUCGGGGUAUACAGUUCGGUGAUAGUCACCGGACUUGCAAUUGGGCGCGACAUCGCGGCGGAAAAGAACCAGGCGUUAAGUGAGCGCAGAUCGACACGGUGUAAUCAUCUAGCUUGCGGCUCGGGCGUGGCCCUGUCAGCAUGCCGUCAUAGCUCCUUCUGAAAUAUUAAUUCCAGGUCAGAGACGGCAAGAAUGGACGGCGUCGCGAAAUUCGUAAAAGAAAAAGUGCGAGGCCGAGUCCAAACAGACAUCGUGCUAUUCCUGCUCGUGUUACGACGUGCAAGAGAACUCGCUGAACAGUCAACUGUGUCAGCCAAAGGAUGCAGACUGUGGAUUUCGAUAUGACACAGAGGCCUCUGUCGCUGCACUGAACGGAGAAGUCUCUGCGGCGAUCCACAGCAGAGCGCCAAAGUACCGACGCGCACCCAUUGGGACCCACAAAUAGGUAUGAACAUCAAUUAGCGGGCUGCAGGACGUCAUUAGGUGGACGUUGAACACAAUACGAAUUAGCGACGAUUCGAGGAAAAGUAAGGACAGACAGCCAACGUCAAUAGGUAAUCGUACAUGCAUGGGAUACGCGCAAACGAGGGUAAUACACACGAGACUAUCCGAAAUCCUUCAACUAACUACUACCACGAUUGCUCACAAUACACAAGAGGCGUUUGCCAACUAUUAGGGAAUUCUGCCACGUUCCUUCAGCGACCAAGUUCCAGUUCCUAGCUUCCACUCCCCAAGAUCCACGAGUCUAGAAGUACAUACCGACAGCCGACAAGAAAAAAAAAGAAAGACAAAACACAAACGCACUUAGGGACAGCGAUGCAUCAAAACGUCAAGGCGACUCAAUUCACCAUUCACUACUCACACUCCGACGACGUCCAUGUCAACACCAGCGAAGCCGUGGGUCAAGAGCCCAGGGCAAACGCCUAGACGUUCGAGUAGUCAACUCCCGUACCUGUCCUUGUCAGGCGCGGCCCUAUUACUCUUUCUCAUCACCUUUACGGAGGUCCCCAGGCAGGACCUCGAGCGCGUUCGCAGCCUCCGACAUCGGCGUAGCCCCCUCCCCCUGCCAAAAAUCGCGCUUGACGCGCUCGGCGACGAUGACCCCCGGAACGGUGUCCCCGCUGUUCAGCGGACUGCUCUUGAACCACCCGCCCUUGGUCGCAGUCUGGCUGCCCGAGCUGGAGCCUGCACGGCGCUUGCGUUCGCGCUCAAUGAGGAUGGCCUGUUCCAGUGACGGCGCGGGCGACGCGCUCCGUGAGGGCGGUCCGAACGGCAUGACAGCGGCGGCGAUCGCGGGGUUCGACGUAAUGGCCUGCAUAGACCGCGUGCGGCCCAUAUUCGUGCUUGCAGGGGAGAGUGCCUCCGGCGCGAGGGAAGCCGCAGAAGCACCCGGCACGCCCGCAGAGGGCUUCGCCGGCGCAACUGGGGCCGGAACGAGCACAGUUGCAGAGCGGAUAGACGGGGCACUUGGGUCGGCUGCGACAGGGACGAGCUUCUCCGCAACCCCGCUGGGAGUGGAGGCGAGCGAAGAAACGUUGGUGCUUCCAGACGUGGAGAGGACCAUCUCCGGUGCCACGAUACCUUCGGGGACAGACGGCGGGAGCGGAGUACCGUCGGGCAGCCCGACCUUCUCCUUCACGGCGUCUUGGUCCUUCUCCUUCUCCGAGGCGCCCCUCACGUCGUGCGGGGUGGGGGGCGCGCUCCGGGACCGCUGGAAGCCUGGUACCUUGAAGUUGAGAUUGCGCAGUGCGGGCAGCGCUAAUGGCCUCGGCACGGGCACCGAGAGAAGGGACGAGUCGGAGAUGCCCGAGACGACGGCGGUGGUAGCCGUCAGGUCUGGCCCAACGAGCUCAGGCGCGGAACCUGUGCGUUUGAGCAACGGUGCGAUUUUGGCCUCGGCUUGGACGUAAGAGGACAGAUCUGGAUGUCCCUGCGGAUCAAAUUCAUCAUAGAUCUCUUCUCCGAUGAGCUCUACCCGAAAAGUGCAUGAGGGCGUGUCAAAAAAUUAGGAAAGAGCCAAUGCUGACUGCCCAAUGUUACGUACCUUCAAGCACGUCUUCAAGGGUGAUGAUGCCAACCGGCAUGACCGCCGGGUCAACACUCUGUAGGAAUUCGUCAACGCCCUCCUUCGUGAGGACGGCGUCCGCGGGCAUGCUCUGCUCCCAUCCCCGCCAGCCGCCGACCUUGGGCAAGGUGAGCCCCUUCUUCUUGGUCGCAGUCUCCUGGUCUUCGACGAUGCCCAUCUCUAUGUCGGCAGUGCGCUUCGACCUGCGCCGCCUACGACCCGCUUUCCUAGUGUACGGUACAUCGUGAACAUGAAUCUCGGCGGAGGAACCAUCGUGGAGUGUCUCGUCGUUGCUACUGUGCCGUUGCGGCUUCUGCGGCCUCCUCUUGUGGGAUGAGGGAGAUGGGGCCUCGUCCUCGUCCUCGCUCGAGCUCGAGUCGCUACUGUCGCCUAUUCUCACCGUGUCGAGCAGGCGCUGGGUGAGGCCGCGCUUAACGGCCUUCUUCACACUCGCCGCGCGCUCGACGCUGAAGCGUGAGACGAUGGCCAUAUGCGACCGGCCCUCCUGGAACUUGUCGAGGAUGCCGAGCAGCGGUUCGUUGUUGGGCACGAACGGCACCUUGUUCAGCGGAAUCUUGCGCACUGGCGUUGCGUCUGCAGACCAGGGGCCAACGUCCCACGAUUAGCCUUUAGCCUUUUGGGUGUGCGGCGCAAGGAAAAAUCUUUGAGGGUCCAGCGACCGUACGCACCAUUUGGGUCGAGAAGCACACAUUGCUUCACAAGCAGGAUGCCGAUGAUCUUCUUCACCUUCUGCGUCCUCGUCUGCCUGCCGUCGAGGCUUAGACGGGAGCCCGUAGCGUCCAUAAGGUCCGCCUCGGAAAUAUUAACCUGAGCGACGAGCCGGGGCACGGGAAUUUCGACCUCCUCGUAAACCGGAAUGCGCGAGUGGCCUGUCACGCAGAUCUUGCGCAGUGUGUCGUAGUCAAGCUUGGCAUCGAUGCUUAGCAUGAACACGUCUUUGAUCGGCGUCAUGGCCUGCCUUACGACCUGCCCGAAUGACGGAAAUGAGAAAUCAAUAUGACGAAUUGGGGACCUGGACUGACUUUCUCUUGUAGAUCAAGAGCGCCUCCGAUUAUAGUUACAGUGUCCGUUUUCAAGUCACCGCCUAGCUGUCCGCCAUUAGAAUGCAUAGCAAUGAGCUCCUUGAGCUCUGCGCGUCUGUAGAUUAUGCCAUGGUGGGGUCCAAGCACAAACUCCAAGAGCUUAGCGACCGGCCAUGCGGCAACUCCCUGUAAAAUUCGGUUCAGCCGACAAUGUAUUCGCAAGGUGGCAGGGCGCUUACCAGAGUCCACAAGAGGACGUGCACAAACCCAGCCAUCUUUGCCCCGAAAUACAGCCCGUAACGCGUGCAUAAGGACUGUGGGAUAAUUUCUGCGAAACUGCAGGUUGUUGGUCAGUCAUGAUCCUGUAGCGAUGGAGCGCUCGUGAAUUGGAAACCGUGCCGGAGCACCAAUCGAAUUGGAAAAACCACUGCAGUCCAGAGUUGACCACUGGCGGAGCAUACACUGCGCCACGACGUCGACGUGACUGGUGCGGUGCAGUAUAGCAUCCGCGUGCCGUUCCAAGCUCGGAUGGUGCGGCAUUCGCAACGGCCAUAGCGUCUUCGCUGAAGUCUUCUGACUCGCUAUGCAGAAUCCGCAACGUCUGUGUGGAUACAUUUGCGCCGGUGUUCGUCCGCGUUGCGUGCUUUGGCAACAACAGAACCGAGGCCAGACCCAUCGAAUACCCACGCCAAUACAGGUCAAUUGUAGCCCGUCGAGCACAACAGUAUAGGUCCACUUGCGCAACUAUCACGGUGUGCACAAAUGCCGUACGAUGAUCCCCUGCUUCAUGGCAUCCAUUCAAAGAACGCUGGCUAACGUCUUAUGCCGCACAAUGCAUGCUAUCGCACACGUAACUCUCAAUUGGCCAAGAUUUCGAACAGAGCUCCGUGAUGACGUCUAGUGUGCUCAUUGCCGCAGGGGACGUCGUCAGGAGCUCCAUGAGGACCCCUCAGGACAUGCACACACGCCUGCUACGAAUUCAGUUCUUGAUACUCCGCCCCGCACUCCAGGGAAAGGACAAGGAAACCCGGCUAAGGUGGAGUCGAAAUUCAUUUCGAAGCUACCCUUCAAGCCUCCUGAUCCAAGGGACGGCCGUAUAGUCCCCAGGGUGCUCUCCGGCGUUCCGUAUGGAGGUCGGACCACUACUGCCCAGACUUCAGGUACUGACUAACGUCCCGGUGACUGUGUCCCAUAUCGGCGGUGUAUUGCGCGCGCACCGAGUGUCGACCGUUGUCCACGGUCUGCGCCACCAACAGACUGCCCGGUGCCAAUACGGAGGAGAAAACGCCCCGAACGGUGUGAGAACACGUCCACAAAGCCUGGGACUGCGCACGUUCGUCGACCGAUUGCACAUGCGUACCCCUCCCGUUGUAUCAGCCAGAACGCCGAGCGACGUAUCAGUAGUUGACACGACCGUAGCAACCAAGACGCCUCUGGACUGUGCCAGCGAAGGUGUGUUCGCGUCAAGGCUCAAAGACACGAGCGCUUCUCCAAUCUCGACAGGACAUCACGUGGGCACGACGCGUGGCAGGUGGUUCUCAGGGAACGCGUGGGUCGUGCCGAAGUCGCGUCAUGCGGCAUAUUUGGAUGGGUGAAGCCCGAAACCGGGGAAUGCGAGAGCACAACAACGGAAGGGCGACAGUAAUAGUAGACCAAUAAAAAUGAGGUGCAGAAAAUGGCGAUAAAGCAUUGAAGAGAGGGAAGACGUAAACGCAGCGCGUGCGAUGACGUAGGGACGAACACAAACGCGCAUGAGAGAAGGAAGAAACGAGGAUGAAGACGUACAUGACGAUAAGGACAGUGCUAACGAUGACACUGGGCACACCGCCGCCGAGGAUGGGGUCCGAGAUGACGGGCAGUGUCUCGUUCACGAUCAUGUUCGCGAGCAGCAGCGUGACAAGGAGGAGGUGCCCAUUCUUGCGGAUGGGUUUGAUCUUGCUCGCAUACAGCUUCUGUUUCCUGUUUCCCGGGGGAUCGGCACCGUGUUAGCCUAUCAGUGCUAUCAGAACCCACAAGUAUAUGCGUGAGUACUCACGGAGUUCCGCUUACGCUGAGCACAUUCAGCUGCGUCUCGUCGAGACUCAUGUAGCCCAGGGUCAGACCGGCAAACAGACCCGACAGGAGGACGAGGAUGGGGAUAAGACACGAGAAGACGAUGAAUUGGGCGCGGUGGUCCGGGUCGUGGAUGUCGCGGCGCGCGAGCGUGUGCACAUCGCCGCCGCCACUGCCCGCCGCAGUGCAGGGUUCGUUGGAAGAGUUGGGCAGAGAGGGAACAUAGUUGGACGCUAAGCUGAGGAGCAGUCUUGGGAGCAGGGGAGCGGGGGUGUUGCUCAGUUCGGGUGGGACCAUUCGAUGGGUGUUGUGUCUCGGGGACGAGGUGCGUCUGACGCGAGGCGUUGUACUAAUACCGCCAGACGAGCUUAUCAGCGGCAACCGCCGGCCCAGGCCCAGGCCCCGCUAUUUACCUUUCCUUUCGGACUUUCUCGACACAGAGACCAAACCUUUCGGAGUACGAAAUAGAUGUAAGCAGGAAGUAAUCGCGGAGUUGUGACGAUUAACCUUUCCGGCCUCGUUGGCGCGGUGCGAAGACGAACACAAGUUCAUCCACGAUCCACUAUUGCGCUUAGAUAAGAAUGGUCGGAGUGCGUUUAGCUUGCUCUUCCUCUACAAGGGCAUUAUUCUCCCUCGAUGAUAUUGGCGAAAGAAGGAAGUUUUGAGGGAAUAAUUUGAUGACAGUUUUGGCUCCGUCACAGGCUAAGCGGUGGCCACCAGAUCGAGGUGUCAGAUGAGGCCAAUUUUACGAGUCGCAGAUAACACAUAGCACAGCGUCCUCGAUAAGUAUCAUCUGACACUAUCAUACUGGCACCCAUAGGCUGUUCUAAUGCAUCGCCAUGUGCAGAAGACCGAUAAGCGUUAGUGCGUGGACUCACUGACCAAUGUUGAGACUGAUAAGCGUUGCGGCCCCAACCGCCGCAGAAAGACCGCAGCUUUAUAAUUGCCAUUGAAUACUGAACGAGAUAGCGGCCAGUUAGGCCUGUGCACACCCGUCUUGAAUAGCACCAGUGGCGGGACUAGUGCGGGCGAAAAGCGUUGCAAGUCAUGCCAACCGACCAGAUCAAGAACCGACCAGGUCAAGGGUCGACCCUGGGUCCGGAAGCAGAUGUGCGACUGUCUGAUCUACAUUAGCGUACCUCAGCCCCAUGUACCUGACAUCGGACCCAACGGGUAAAGAGGAAUCGGACAAUGGAGAUACCGUCAGGGAACGGUCAAUAAUUAGAAUCCCGGAGGGGACGGAUAAGCGUCGUGAAGGUAGAGGAAGGUAGAGGAGCUCUAUCGUAAGAUUACACUAGAAUACAGUCAGGUAAACACAAGCACAAACCGUCGAUCGAGAUCAAAGCAUACAACUCCAAACCCCCGCCCCCACAUCGCGCUACGUAUCUGAUGUCGCAUCGUCUUCCCCUGUCGUUCCUCGGGGCUCGCGGACUGCCAACUACUGCCAAGUGUCAAAAACCACAAUCACCGAGGCUCAGCCAUACCACUUCUGGCCUAUCCGCAUCUCCGAUUUCGGCCGCUGCGGGAUCAUGGGCUCGGUGAUGUUGAACACCUCGAUCGCCCGCUGUGGGGCGCGAAGAUAAGGACAUUGUCAGCCCGCGGCGUUCUCAGGCGGGGUGCACGAUAACGGGAAUAACGGACCUUCCAUGUGUUCAUGUCAAAUUCCAACACGAGCUGGUGCUUCAGCAACCCGUCCUUGUAAUCCUCCUGCGUCGGCUGCUCGCAUAGCACUGCACAAGGACAUUCAAUCAAAGGUGCGCUCCGAGCGCGAAGGAGAGGAGCUAACUUACGUAUAACCGGCUCGCCCGUGUCCUCGUCGGUAAAGAACGCGCAUUUACCGUCGCGGAUAAGGAACGACAGAUAAAAGAGAUUUUCCACGGACUGCCCAAAGUCGUGUGGGUUGAUAACGAAUUUGAAAAUAUUCGUGUUCCCCUCUAUUUUGGACAAUAUUUGCUCGAGCUGAAGGAGCGAUAUCAAGGGAUUAACCACAGCCGGCGGCCGGCAGGCCACAGACGCAACGUACCGUAGCAACGUUCUUGGUCGUCUCGUUCUCGGACCGUGUGAUGUCCUCUUCGGUGAUUUCCUGCGGUUUCUUGAGAUCCUCCUUGUUCUUCUCGAGUCUCGCCCUCUUCGCUUGUGCCCGCUUCUUCUGCUCGAUCGAUAGGGGUCCAAGCCUACGUCCCCAAACGCCAUCCGCAUUCGCAGCCGAGCGUGUACACAUCCUCACAUCAACCCCCGAGAUCACCCCACGCGGAAGCAGAUGCAAAAGCACGCACAUGAAGUCCAUCGCAGGUACCCGCCGGCUCUUCGCGAGCGCGCGGCGGCCGAUGCGCUCCCAGUUAAGUGGCGCGCCGCCCUCCUCGUAAUCGUCGUCGUCCCCAUCUUCUUCCACAACAGCAGGCGAAAGAGGCUUGCGGCCGCCCAUGUACGUGAUGAGGCGGGCAACGAAGUCGUCGACGUCGAACGCGCCGGAGCCCGACUUCAUCGCGCGGGCCUUCGCGGCACUGAUUUGGGAGAUGUGGACGAGGAGGCCCGAAUCAUUUGUGGCCCCUGGAAUGUCUUGCACUAAUCACAGGAUAUGCGGAGAUGUGAAUGGGGGGCAUGCGAGAACGAUGGAAGGGGUGUAGGAGGGAGAAAGGGGUUGCGAUUGCUUGGAAAUGAGAGCCACUCGUACCAUCUUUGAAGAGGAGGUCCGCCUGCCGUAGCUGCUCCGCUACGUCUUCAGUACUGAUAUCCUGCGUUUCUGUGGGGAGCUAAACGACACAUUCUGAGGAUGGUAGGCUGUGAAACACGUACCUGUGAGUUGCUGAAUCGCCCGCCUGUAUUUCCUCCUGAUAUCGCGCGUCGCCUCCGGAUCUUGGUCGGGGUCGUACACCGCGUCCUGCAUAUCAACAUCCUCUAUCGCCAUGUCUGAAGACGUCGAGAACGACGAGGAUUGUAGUGGAGGUUGCCGAGGGGGAGGUAAGGAGAAGCAGAGGCGUCGGACGCGCCUACUCACGCGCACGCGUUGCUGGACGCGGUCCACCACGCACGUGACUGGCGCAAAUCGCCCAUUUUGGAAGAUUAUUUGCUUCCAUUUGGCAACAGCCUUGGAUCCUAACAGCACCAAACAACGCCGAUUUCGUUCGCCGCCGCAUCCAUCGUCAUCUAUCGCCGGACUCUGUACUGGUGACGAUCCUGGGCUUAUAUAACAUGUUACUGUUACCUGUGUCUGUGCAUAAGAAAACUCUGCUCUACUCGGGGAUUUCCUACCUUUCCCAGGCACUCGCUAACGGUACGUACGUAUCCAACCCUCAUCUUUGUUUCGUGCGAUAAAAUUGUCAAUAGGGCCAUGCAGAGCCACUUUUAUGUGGGGGAACGACGAGCUCUAUACCAUAAAUCAUGGAUAGCCUCACAAAGACAACAUCAAGACUAGAUGCAAGGUUCCAGUCUGAGCGUAUAUGACCCCUAGUCGUCGCUCUGUUUGUCUGCAUGUGCCAUGCAACACAGAGGAGUAACUCGCUGAAGUUACCCCUUCCCGCACAUAGGUCCAUGCCCAUGGCGUACAACAUCCGGGCUUGAUGACACAAGAGUCUUGCAGUGUAGACUGAGCGAUGAAGCUUCGUGGCCAAUGGCGUUCAACAUCAUCCGGCAAUCAUCCUGGAUACCGUCUUGCACUUUACUGGAUGUCAUGUUGCAUGUCCUGGCCCACAUCUCUCGUGCACCUGCUUAGUCGCUCCGUAUUGAUCUAUGUCUAAUUUCUCUACAUCGCCUUCUACUCGAGCGGUUGGCGCCCUCCUUCCGAUCAUGCUCCUCGGCCAUCUUCGCCCUUGAGUCUCCACAUCCUGUUCCUGCCAUCCAAACUGUACAGCCCGUCCGCACCUCUUAUUCUGAUGGCAGCUCCAUGGGCUCCCAAGACAUUGCCAACGCCGUCGUCGCCAAUGAACAUCUGAUCCUCCACUUACCCCGUCACGCUCCGCCCUCUCGUAACGUCAUGGUACAAAACAAGAAUAUCCUCAUCCGACGACGGUCCAACAUCUGAGUUGCAUAUCAAUUGGAGGUACAGUUUCGACACAAUGUCUGGGCUCCCUCAAGGCGGAAUGUGUGGCUCCUGAAGCAUCACCAAUGCUUCAAUCACGUUCUCACAUAUCUCCCUCGACCGUGCUUGGUACACCGUUUUCCGCCCCUCUGUUCUGGCGAGACUACGUCAUGCAUCAUGUCUCGCAGUUUUUCGCAAAGCCUUCAGUGCCAGUGCCAGCUUCGCGUGGUCUCUAGGAGGCUCAACGUGCUUGGAGUCGCACGGCUUCGUUAGGUCCACGUAUAUGAUGGUAUCCCAUCCACUGCGUCACCGUGCAAGUCUCCGCUUUUAUUACUGACUAUCGUAGGCACAAAAUUAUCAUUGCCUCUCAGAGAAAGGCGAUGGAAUCUCUACUCGAUUUAUCUUCGCAAUCGUCGUAUGUGCCACAAGCAUAUGUUAGGGGCUACGCCUAGAAGAGACCCCCGUGCAGCUGCCUUGGUAUGCUCUAUUCUCGAACUACAGCCGUAACUACAUGUCAUUUACACGAUCGAUAAUAAUCAGGGCGGCUUCCAAGGCACUCCGUUUCGACAGAUCUACCUGGCAGGUUCUAGGCGAGGCGCUUCUGGAAUGCAGCUCCCGAGCAUCAGCGAACAACAGAAGUUUGGCACUCACCUCAUGGAUGUUCUCGCCUGGUAUCGCAUAUCCCGGUGCACGCUGGAAUCAUUUCGUGAGUCAUCCAACUGAACACUACCAGAUGUCGCAUGUACUCACCAGUCAGAGGCUCAGCCUUGCAAUGCGACGCGCCGACUCCGCACAAUCCGAGUCGCCCGUCCCCGACAGGCGACUGCACCGGAAGGGCGUUGGCUCAUCCACCUCUUCGCCGCCACAGGAAUGUGAGGGGCGGCGAGUGCGGGAGCCUGAGUGCGAUGCGCCGCAAACGUCGACUACCACAAAGUGGGCUUGCCAUCGACGAGCGGCUGACACCUUGUGCGAUGUGGGUGCUACAUAGAGUCAACACAGUGAGGCUUCUUUAUACUACGACAUAGUUUUGGAGCUGAAUAAACGUACGUGGUGUUGGGUCAGCCGUGUCCCAUGAUGGUAUGUUCGCAUAAUAGUGAACGCGUCAUUGGGAGAAGAGAGAAGAGGAGAAAGCUGUUCGCCACAUCAAUGAGCUACAGCGAUCUUCAUCGGAGAGUAUGGGAGAAGACGCACGAAGAAGAGUUGGUGGGUGGGCACCUCCGACGCGCACUUUCAGGGAAGGGUUAGCUAAAGGCGAAGGAAAGAGAGGACGAGGUGGCAUACGGGUCGACAGUGAGGUGCCCCAAGGCCCCGUCCUCACCGAGAAGACGGCGAGGACAUGGGAGAGAAACAUCCCAGCUCGACGUUCAACCUCUCACAGAAGCGUACGACCAGCCACCCACAUAGCAUACACCAAUGCGAGUGGCCAGCGCACCUAGGAGGAUAUGGAGAGGGAGAAGUGAACAUGGAAGUUCUGAGGAGAGACAGACCGGGCGAAUCGACGGGCUUUUAUAUACUGGAGGCUGACAAUCGGACAAAAGGUCAACAAUAUUCGGAUCCAAAAGGCUCGUGAUUCUGUUGUUCGCUGGCCUGAGCGAUUGUUUGCCAUGAAUCGUUGGCCCAUGUUGACGUGCUCGAUCUAUGUUGGUGUCAGCCCUACAGAUCGGACAACAGGUUCACCUGCUUGAAUUCAUCAUAUAUUGACUUUGACUUUGUUGUUGGCCUAUCUCGACGAUCGACUGGGUUCAAAUUCCUAUGAAGCGCUAUUUCACUUGCAACGGCCGUUCCACUAUCUCAGCCACCCUCAAUAGCUUUCAAAGGAAGCGAGAGCAGAAGGCAAUCCCUGGUACAACCCUUCGAGACCAUACCGUUGUUACUGUAUGAGACAUAGCUCCUCUGAUGAAGCACACGGGCUGGGGGUACGACGAUUGGUUGUACAAUGGCAAGGGUGACAGGAAACACAUUCUUGAAUGCUCCUUAAUCAUACAGGUACUAACGCACACGGUAACACCUCCACUGUCGCGUCUGCACACGCACGCACUCGAUGAAGGACCUCCUCAUUUCUCACACUCUUUCGGGUCUCCAUCGCAUUUCACAACCUGAUCCCACACGAUUAACACCGGUUCAGAGAGAACUGGGGAGACUAAAACCGACGAUUAUAUCUUCAUGCCAUCGAGCAGGCCCUUGCGAAUAGUUGCCGGGCUAUCGGUCUUGUUGGCUAGGUAGAGCGAGACUGUGGCUGGUUGAUGCUUCUUCAACGUCGAGAUAGUCGUCUGUUUGUUGAUUUGCACUUGGAGGUUGUACCUCGCCGGGUUCCCGGCGGUCAUCUGUAAGACCGAGCACAGAGAUCAGGACAGUCCAAUCAUGCUGACAGCUCCAUCGGUGUACUGACCCCCUGCAUAUCCAGACGGAAGUCUGUGUCCUGGUAGAUGGUGUGUUGGGAUUCGGUGAUACCCGUCAACUUGGCGUCAGGGAUGCCUUCGAUGAAGGCGACCAGGGCUUUGGAGGCUUUCCCCAUAACUUCGGCGAUGUGGGUGCUUCUGGCCCGUAUCGGAUUAGUGUCGAAUAGGAUAGCAGACUAGGAGCUCGAAUCGAAAGACAUACUCGAGGGAGACGCUAGAACUCGGACUCUGGGAGGGUGAAGCUCGCAAUGAAGAGCUAAUAUACCCCAUCGGAGGUCGCUGGCUUUACAUGGGACUCAGCCAAGUCGCAGGCGACGAGCAGAACGCGAGAGGGUUUCCCGGGGGCAUUGGUAUGGAAGAAAGAAGGUUUUAGAACGAAGACACCUGGCAGGACUCGGGAUGAAAGGGCGCGAUCUGUCAGGUGGGUGUGGCGAGGGUCCCAGCACUGGCGUAAUUCGGAAGAGAAGUUGCUGAACGGCCUCUAGGUGGCUCCGGACAGGCCUGACGUACCGGAAUAGAGGCAGGUGCAGCUUUGCUGGCGUCGUAUGGAAGGGAGAAGCCACCCCUUGAGACCUGGUCCUAUUUCAGAGGCCGUAAGUAGCGAGCGCAGAUGAAUGCUAUAUCUCAACCUACCUCAUUGUUGGACCAACUUCCGCGAGAAUGGAUCUUGGUUCCUCGACGCUACUAAAGGGAGGUCUGAGAGGGUGCCAUGUCUUGGCAGGCCGCCUGAGUCGUCGACCGGGGGAAGCCGUGCCACUCGGCGCUCCGCCCUCCAGAGUCACGGGCGCUCUCUGAGGGUCAACUUUGUGAAUUCACAUAGUCGACUCGCGUCCCCGACUGCGGGUAUACAGCACCCAUCCCAACCUCUUUGCGCGUAGGACGGUUGAUAUUCACAUCUCAUCGGUUUCAAAGGCACUCUGGUAUGUCCCUCAGCUCUCCCGCACCUCGUCGGGACGUCCAAUGGGUCAAGGAUAACUUAGGACGCACCGAGCCAGCCUGGAGCACACAGCCCUCCCUUCCUCUCCUCGAGUUCAUCGCUCGGGCCCACCUUUCCGUCCCCACAGAUGCUCCGUGUACGAUCACUCCAUUCGCCCGCGGCGCUUUCAACCAGUUGUAUGCGGUGCAGACCCCCGAGCGGGCGUGUCUCAUCCGCGUCACGCUCCCAGUCCAACCCCGCCUCAAGACGCUCAGCGAGGUCGCGACGAUCGAGUUUGUGCGCACGCACGCCUCAGAGCUCGUUCCCCGCGUUUUGGCCUACGAUGCCGACGUGCAUCCGCCAGAGCGCGGCGGGCUGGGCUUUGAAUGGAUGAUCAUGGAAAGAAUCUCUGGUAGCGUGCUCGAAAAGCGAUGGGAAGGUAUGGACUGGGACGCGAAGCUCUCCCUCGUCAAGACCGUCGUCGGUGUCCUCGCAAAACUCUACGACUACCCGCUCUCUGGGAUCGGGAACAUCUACCCUGUUACCGCAGACACCGUCGAUGCCGCGGAUCAUACGGCUCCCCCACAUCCUACGCCCUUCACGCAUUCCGUUGGUCAGAUCGUCUCGAUGCUAUUCUUCUGGGAUGACCACUUUGACCAGGAUGUCCCCCGAGGCCCUUUCCGCUCGAGCCACGACUGGCUGGCGGCAUGUCUCCAGUUCACCCUCAACGACGCGGCAAAGCUUAUCGACCGACACUCCGCUGAAAAAAUGGAGGAGCACGUAACCGAGGGCUCUGAUUCAGAUUCAGAGGACGAGCUGGAAGAGGCCGAAGAAACCAAGGCCCUCGCCGAACGCCUCGUCCAUCUCCUCCCACGCGUGUUCCCUCCCACCGCGCCAGACGCCCCCCCAGAACGAACCGUCAUCUUCCACGACGAUCUCUCGUCCCAGAACAUCCUUGUAGACGCAUCGGGGACGCUCACCGGUCUCGUCGACUGGGAGUGCGUCUCCGCGCUCCCGCUCUGGCGCGCGUGCACACUGCCCUGGUUCCUCCUGGGGGGUAACCGCGCGGAGCGACCGAACCCCGAGGCGUAUGGCAAGGCGGCGGACGAAGACGAAGAGAAGGAGGUGUCGGGCGGGAAUAGGGACGGAGUUGUGAAUGCGGAUGCUAACGGGGACGAAGCUCAGGAUUGGGGCAAAGGCGGGCGGCCGAACUCGCUCUACUUCGAGCACUUUCUCGAGUGGGAGAAGAUGCAGCUCCGCGCCAUCUUCCUCGACGAGAUGGCGCGUGUGCAGCCGGAGUGGGUGAGCGUGCAUCGUGCGGGCGUGCUGCGCAACGACUUUUAUGCGGCGGUGAUGUACUGCGAUGACGAACUUUGCAGGCGGCGGGUGCGGCAGUGGACGGACCGAGUGGAAGCGAUGGCGGAUGAAGAGCUACGGAGCGAUGAGACGGGCCCCGACUAUGCAUCGCUUAAUGACACGUUACGGUCGUAGGGCCUCUUGGCCUCGCAUCUGCCGUCCCAUGGGUUGACCGACCUCAGGUUGCUGGAUAUGCCGUAUACUAGUCCUUCCUUCCGAUCUGCACGAUGGAUAUUCCCCUACCUCAUGGAGUGUGUAAUUCUAGGAGUUGUAUUGAUAUCGGAUUCGACGCGCUGUAUUCCUAAAAUUAUUGGUGCUGCUACUAUAGUGACAGGACCACAGAUUCCAAGGUCCACUGCAUGGUGGAUAUUAGGGACCGGGCAUACUAACAACCGAGUGCGAACCAUACAAUUGGUAGUGAUAAUUGAGAGAGCGAGUUUGGGGAGAGAACUGGAUAUUGCCGCGGGGAUUCAGCAAUCGUUGAGCGGUUGUACGCGUCCAGAGGUCGUGACUCGGGAAGGUUAGGUCUCUCUAUCGGUAAAUGGCAUCACCAUAAACAUGCACAACGGUUCGUCGAUCGGCCUGAUCGACAUCUUCUAUAUUAACAUUAACAUCUUCAGCGUCGACUUAAAAUCGACCGCCGACCCCCAAGCCCGCCGGAUAGGGUUGUCUUUCAUCCCUCAAAAAAUCUUCCAAUUAUUAACGCGCUGUCCUCACUCACGAUUGAACCACAGUUGAGGCAUACUAAGUUUCGCCGGCGAGUAUUUCCCGCAAAUGUAAAUACACGCCCGCAAAAUCAUUGUCGGACACGAACGGUAGCGAAGCUACUACUACAGAGAGGUCCAUCUUCGCGACGGCAAUUGGAUGGAGGAUGCGCUGUUGGGUGCAGAGGUAACCCUUGCCAUGCACAGCAGUCCAAGUGAUUGAUAUGCUAGAGCCUUUUGCUGUGAAUGGUACAGUACAGUAUUCCGCGAAAAUGUGGUUGCGAUUUAACGUCUAGCAUUUGGCAACUGUGCUGGGCGCUGCGGGGCUACGUGGGAAAAUGGUAACCACCCGUGUAGUGCCUACUUAAGUCGAGCUCUAGUCACAAACUAGAGCCUACUAUGUAGGUGGAACACGGUUCAAACUUUCAAGAUACGUACAGUAUGUCAUCGACCAAUGUUUCGGACCACAAUCACGGAUCUUGGCAGAGCUAACAACAUCUCGAUCUCAACCUCCGUCUGCUAGCUAUUUGCGUGGGGGAUAUCACUACAUAUCAAAGGCCCCUACAAUGUACAUACUGGAUGGAGUUCGUCGAGUCGCGUACUAUACUCGCAUAGUGGCUAACACUCAGAGGGGGUGACUACGUCUGCCACGCGACGCGGCCGAGCCUUACUCUACACUAAGGGCCUUGGACACGCAGCAAAUAGAACAUAGGCCGAGCGUGGAGAGUCUGGAGCUUUCGCGCGCGCAAUACCGCCACGGACAAGUCACGGGAUCGCAGCACUCUGCGAACUUGUUCUUGCCGACAGAAUCCAGGACUUCUAGCGCACGUAAGGAGCUAUGUCUCAUCGGACCGUCACGUUGUGGGCUCGACCGUACUUCAACCUCUAUCGCGCAUAUAAGUAGGUACGUGGUUCACGCAUAUCCUCAUACUCUCUUAGCGCAUUCACACCGCCUAUUUUGACUCUUAACAUGGCGCAACUGGCGAUGCUAGUCGCAUCUAGCCUUGUCCUCUCCUUCAUAUGGCUUCUCGUACGAAACUACGUCGUGAAGUCACCACUGGACAAACUUACUGGUGUGUGCAUAUUUGCCGCCCUAGGUGUUACUAUGAAGUGGCAGUGGCCGCCAAGCACCGCCGAAGAGUCAGCCUCCCGAGCGCUCCCCAAUGUAGGUGUCCACGUUAUAUCCAUCUUGAAGGUGCUCCUAGCUCGCUAGGUAAGUAGGCCACGGAACAGGCAGCGUGCUGCCGGUCCGAAAUGGCUUUUAGACGAUCAACUUCGGUGUCAGACCGUGGCAAUCCUCAGACCUGGCCCACGACUCUGCGGCUUUCACACGCGCAGGGCAUGGACUCCGUCGUCCUGUGACCUCUCUUCCACUUCUUCGGCAAUUCUUCCCCGAGCUCCGCGGGGAAUUCAUGCGUCGCAACCCUAUGCACACCUCUUGCCAAUAGAAUCCGGGACUUCUCGUGCACGUAAGUGCCAUGCCUCCGCGGACCGUCACCUGAGGAUUCGAUGCUUGAAUGUCUAUCGCACUGCAUAUAAACAGGUAUGUCAUUCAUGCGCUGUAUCCUCACGCUCUCCUCUCGUACUCACGUCACGUAUUGCCUCUCCCAGCAUGGUACAACUUGUGGCACUAGUGGCAUCGGGCCUUGUCUUCUACUUCAUAUGGCUCCUCAUACGAAACUACGUCAUGAAGUCACCAUUGGACAAAAUUCCCGGCCCUCCGUCGGGCUCCGUUAUCUCGGGUGUGUGCGAUACUGACUACAGUGGGAGGGCAUCGAGACUAACUCGCAGCGGUGGCACAGGGAACAUGUUUCAGCUGUUUAACCAUAACAGCUGGAACUUCCUUGACGACCUCAUUCAUACAUAUGGCCCAGUCGCCAAGUGCUAUGGCUUCUUCGGUGUAGGUUGUUCCACGUUUUCAAGACAUCAUAUCAGUUUUCACGCUCUUCAUAGACGAGAAUAUUGCACAUCUACGACCCAAAGGCAAUGCACAGCAUCUUCGUCAAGGACCAGGACAACUACUUCAGGGGGGACAAGACAGUCAGGUAUGUUUAAUAUCUGCGCUGCGAUCCCAUCCGGAUCUCCUGACGCUUGUAUAGCACAAUAUGCUUGCUCCUCGGCCCGGGUCUAUUGGGCACGUUUGGUGGCACCCACAAGAAACAACGCAAGAUGCUCAACCCAGUAUUCUCGGGCGCACACAUGCGCAACCUUACCCCCCUCUUUUAUGACGUGGCUGGUAGAGUAGGAACCUGUUUCGGUCUCAAUUUAUAGGUGCGACGAUCUCUAACAAGUUUUCCCAUGCAGCUUCGCAUGGCCCUAGAAUCACGAGUCGAGGACGGACCCAAAGAUCUCGACAUCCUCGCGUGGAUGGGACGCACCGCGCUCGAGCUCAUUGGUCGUGGCGGGCUAGGCUACUCCUUCGACCCACUCGUGGCCGAGUCCCGGGACGUAUUCACAGAGUCCGUCAAAUCAUUCACGUACGUAUUCAGCACGUAUGCUGUGCAUGGGAGACUGAGCAGAGCAGCUGAUCUCAUCUCACGUGUCGUACGGUCUAGCCCCGCAGCCAACGACGUGGUCUGGAUGCGCGAAAUCACCCCGUACCUGUCGUAUUUCGGUCCAGCUUGGUUCCGCGGUUUACUUGUCCGGCUCAUCCCGAUCCCGAGCAUCCAGCGUCUGAAAAACAUUACGGAUAUCAUGACCAGGAGGAUGGAAGAAAUUUACUACGAAAAGAAGGCCGCGAUUCAGAGUGGUGAUAAAGAGAUGUUGUACGCCAUAGGAGAGGGGAAGGACAUCAUGAACGUUCUAUGUGAGACUGCGUUCAUCAUGCUCUUUGUGAGGUGACUGUAUGCUCAUGGCGGCUGCGCAAGUGCGAGAGAACAUGAAGGCAUCUGAAGAGGACAGGCUGCCGGAUGAAGAGGUCCUCGCACAGAUGGGGUACGUGUUGCAGGUCACCUCGGUACCCUCUGAGUAGCCUCGAUUGAUCUGUGGGAAUGAACGCAGCACGUUCAUCAUGGCGGGCGUCGACACCACCUCCAACGCGCUGUCGCGUGUCCUGCACCUCCUCUGUAUGAACCAAGACGCGCAAACCAGACUCCGUGCUGAGCUGCGUGACGCACAAGAGCAGUACGGCAGAGAAAUUCCAUACGACGAGCUGUGCGCCUUACCCUACCUCGAUGCGGUCUGCCGCGAGACGCUUCGUCUGUAAGUUUUUCCCUUCCACGCGACAUCCUGCUCUACCUGCCCCCUUCCGCUGACAACCACAACGCACGCAGGCAUGCCCCAGUCAAUAUCAACGGCAGACAGUGAGAUCUAGUACUCAAGCCCAUAUGGCGAUGUUAACUUAUUCACUUCUAGAAACAAAGUCGACACCGUGAUCCCGCUCUCCGAGCUCGUGCGCUGCACCGAUGGCACCGUCAUCACGGAGGUGCCCAUACCGAAGGGCACAAACAUCUUUUUCAACCUGCGUGGGUGCAACAUCAACAAGGCGAUUUGGGGCGAGGAUGCGUGGGAGUGGAAGCCGGAGCGGUGGCUGAAGCCCCUGCCCAAGGCUGUCGAGGACGCGCGCAUCCCUGGAAUCUACGCGAACUUGUAUGUGUUACGCGGACCCUCUGUGCGGUGUGUCUGAUGCUGGGUGGGCAACAGGAUGACGUUCAUCAGUGGCGGAAAUUCGUGCAUGUGCGUUAUGGAUCCAUGCCUCCUAGUCCCGUCCUUGUCUGAUCCCUACCUUCUUGUAUUCAGAGGUUUCAAGUUCUCACAGCUAGAAAUGAGUGCGUCGCAUGCUUCCCCUCCGUUGUGUUCCCCCCAUCUGAUGAUCAUACUCACCAGAGAUUGUCCUCUCUACGCUCGUAUCGAGCUUCCGGUUCCAACUCUCGCCAUCAAAGCCGAUUUUCUGGAACUUCGCAGGCAUCGCGUACCCAGUCGUCGACCACGCAUCCUCGAAGCCCGAGAUGACUGUGAAUGUCACUCUCGCCUCUCGCUGAAGCAGAGGACAGGCAUUGUUUACUGUACUGCAAAUUCUUGUCCUUGUUGUGAUAUUGAUAUUGUGGACAAUGAUAUCUAGACGAGGUUCUGUAAGUUUUCCGAUACAAAGAAAUGGUUUGUUGUGGUGGUGGAUCAUCGACGCCAAAUACAUUCUAAGAACUGAGAACUGAGAACUGAUUUAAUAGAACCGACUACGCUAUGAGAAAUAGCUCAGGUAAGCUAGGCUAACGUAGGUACCUCGCCGGCCCAAUAGGAUCGUGGGAACAUGAUGCAGACGCGCGGUCGAGAACGUGUUACAGUAUUCACUGCUGUGACCUUAAGCGCUUGAACCGUGUGGGAAUAUUACUAGCGCCCGUGAAGUAACGCCAGCGAAUGAUGCGACUCAAGUGCGGCUCGCCUAUGUCGUCGAUGUCCUUGGCCGAUCUCGGAGCACGGCUCAAGGACCACAAAGGUGCGUACUUACGUCGUAAGCCAUGGUUUCAGACAGUAAUUAAUUGCCGAUUCAACGGAGUCUGACUGGUCUGGUUAUAGUUGCCGGGAUUUGAGCAGCAGUGGAUUUCCUGGCGAGUGAGCUUGCCGGGCCGCCGCCCACCUUUGGUCCACCCUCAUGCCUAUUCCGCACUAAAGCUCCAUUGACUAGUAAGUAAGAAGUUUGAAAAACCUAAUAGAUAGCGAGUAACCCGCUCACACAAGUGCAAUAACUUCCAGGGAAGACAGAACGUGGCACCGGCACCGCACCAGUCACGCCAAGAUUCUACACAGCGUGGAUUAUGAUCCCUCUCCGACCUCUUCAAUAAUCCUUCCCCGACCAUGGCGGAUAAGUCACGAGAUCGCAGCACUAUACGCACCUCAAACUCUUGCGGAGGGGAUGGGCACGUAAGACCAAUACCUCAGCAGACCGUCACCAUGCUUGAACGUCGUCUAUCGCACCGCAUAUAAGUGGGUACAUGGUUCGUGCGUAUCCUCAUACUCCCCCAUUGUACUCACAGCCCCUACCGUCUCCGUUAGCAUGACGCAACUGACAGUGCUGGCCGCGUCAGGCCUUAUCCUCUACUUCAUAUGGCUCCUCGUCCGGAACUACGUUGUGGGAUCCCGAUUAGACAAAAUUCGCGGCCCUCCAUCUGGCUCAAUCAUUGCAGGUACGUGGCACACAGCCAGCUAUGGGGACUCGAUGGCUGAAUUGUGGUGGUGGCAAUAGGGAAUAUGGCUCAGAUUCCCAUAAGAGAGGCUGAGGAUUCCUUGACGACCUCAUUGAGACCUACGGCCCGUUCUUCAAGUUCCACGGUUUCUUCGGUGUAGGUUCCCUGACCGCCUUCAAGGCCUCGAAUUCACCUUUAAAUUAUUUUAUAGACCAGGAUUUUGCACAUCUACGACCCAAUGGCCGUGCACAGCAUCUAUGUCAAAGACCAAGACAACUAUUACCGGGGAGAAAAAAACGUUAGGUAUGUCCAAUUUCAAUUCCGCACCCGGCACAGAAGCUCAUAGCGUUUGGGAAGUACACUACGCCUCCUCAUCGGUCCGGGUCUGUUGGGAACACAUGGCAUCACCCACAAGAAGCAACGCAAGAUGCUCAAUCCGGUGUUCUCAGGGGCACACAUGCGCAAUUUAACGUCCUUGUUCUACGACGUCUCCGGUAGAGUAAGAUGCAGUCCAUUUUCUACUUUGUAGUCACAACCUUCGAGUCUGAUGCCCUUCCCCCCAAAUGCAGCUGCUUAAAGCCUUGAGUUCCAAAUCAAGGAUGGACCCAAGGACCUCGAUAUCCUCGCAUGGAUGGGACGCGCCGUGCUCGAACUGGUUGGUCGUGGUGGUCUGGGCUAUUCCUUCGACCCGCUCGUAGCCGAAUCCCGGGACACAUUCACGGAGUCCGUCAAAUCAUUUACGUACGUACUACUCAGCCCAUUUCCUGCACACGGGAGCAUUUCAUUUCACUUCAUGUGGCGUGCAUUGUAGCCCGGCAGUCAACGACGCGCUAUAGUUCACCCCGUACCUUUCGUGCUUCGGUCCUGCGUGGCUCCGUGGUUUCCUUAUCCGGCUCAUCCCCAUCGCGAGCAUCCAACGGCUGAAGACCAUCACAGAUACGGUCACCAAGAGGACGGAGGAAAUGUACUUCGCGAAGAAGACAGCAAUACAGAACGGCGACGAAGAGCUGCUGCACGCCGUAGGAGAGGGAAAAUACGUCAUGAGCAUUCUCUGUGAGUAUCCGGUCCUACAUCCUACAUUUCAUAUAAAUAUAUGCUGAUGGAGACUUCGACAGUGAGGGAGAACAUGAAGGCAGUCGAAGAGGACAGGCUUCCAGAUGAGGAGGUUCUCGCGCAAAUGGGGUGGGUAUCUGCAUCACAUGAGUCAAUAGCCACGCUUGCUGACCUUCGUUUGGGUGCGACCAUAGAACAUUCAUCCUCGCCGGCGUGAGACCACCUCAAAUGGGUGUCGCGUGUCCUGCAUUUACUCUGUACGAACCAGGACAUUCAAGACACAAGCUUCGUGCCGAGCUGCGUAGCGCGGAAGAACAGUACGGUCGGGAGAUUCCGUACGACGAGCUGUGCGCGCUGCCAUACAUGGAUGCGGUCUGCCGCGAGACGCUCCGCCUGUAAGCCUGUUCCCUUCCGCGUCUAAUCCUACUCCAUCCCCCUUUCGCUGACUGCCACAAUUCCUACAGGUAUGCCCCAGUAGACAUCAACGGUAGACAGUGAGAUCUUCCGUAAGUUCUUCUUUGUGGCGACUUUGACUGAUUCAUUUCCGGAACAAGAAUCGACACGGUGAUCCCGCUUUCCGAACCCAUGCGCUGCACCGACGGCACCGCCGUCACGGAGGUACCCGUCCCCAAGGGUACAAACAUCUUCCUCAACCUGCGCGGAUACAACAUCAACAAGGCACUGUGGGACGAGGACACGUGGAAGUGGAAGCCGGAGCGGUGGCUGCAGCCCCUGCCCAAGGCUGUCGAGGACGCGCGCAUCCCUGGAAUCUAUGCGAACUUGUAUGUGUUGCGCUCCCGGACCCUGUGUGCGCUGUGUCUGACGAUGGGUGGGCAACAGGAUGACGUUCAUCAGCGGCGGACAUGCGUGCAUGUAUGUUGUUCCCCUUCCGUACCCCUCAGUAUCUUCAUCUAACGGACUCUCUCGAAUUGAAUACAGUGGUUUCAAGUUUUCUCAGCUGGAAAUGAGUGGGUCUCCCGCUUCUGAUACCAGAUACUCUCCUUCUGACUGUCGCGACCCUCGGAGAUCAUCCUCUCCACCCUCGUGUCCAAUUUCCACUUCCGGCUCUCCCCCCCCCCGAGCGAAUUGGCUUGGCCCGCCUCUCACCAGACAAGCCAAUCUUCUGGAACUACGCAGGUAUCGCGUAUCCCGUCACCGACCAUGCAUCUUCGAAGCCCGAAAUGACCCUCACUCUCAGCCUCGCGUCUCGCUGACGAUGAGGAUUGGUGCAGCGCGUUGGGGUAUGAAACUCUUCUUCCUUGAUCGCGAUGCUCAUCUAUCGCAGUGUAUGUUCGGAUCCCCUCAGGCUCUCACUCGCUUUCAUCAGCUGGGCUCAGAUACAGUCACAUUCCUCAAUUCGCUCGUUACCCUACUCACCGAGCUCGGACGUUAUGAAUAGUAACUUUUUCUCUGACCCUGCAUCGUUCCUCAAACAUAAUGCGAUUGCCAGAUCGGUACAGACUGAUGGUAGUUCUUGCUUCUUCCCCGCCCAUGCUGUUAUACGUUGACCUCUCCCCUCAACAUCACGAGAAGAUGGUCGCACACAAGGACGGGGAGAACGAUUUCGACGACCAUUUGUUGGGCAGAGUGAGAAGCUGCCGGGUUUGCCAAAAGUCUCUGGGCUUUUGGUCGUGGCCAGCUAUGUCUGCAAAUGUAUACCCAUCAGGUCAUUAACCAAUGUGUACUAAUGUUGUCCCAUACUUACGUGAUGUCAGGGAGGGGGUGAUGAGACUCAAGCAUCCACACUGAUCUCGCCUCAGCGCAGCUUCGAACUAUGGGGUAAGAUACUUACGAGACAUGGCCGCGACGGCGCGGCAUGAUAAGCUUCCGGAUCACCAGCUUCUUGCCCAGAUCAUGUACGUACAUCCUUUCCGCCUAUGCUCGGCGUUCCCAGCCCAUCAUGGUGCUCAACAGAACAGAUGCGCCAUAAGUUGACCAGAACCCGUUCAUCGAGCGAAGGAUAGUCGGGCCCUAGGUGAACAGAGUCGCGAUAAUAAGGAGAUGGAAUUCCAACGCGAACAUGACAGUACGGUGGGGGGUGCACUCUAAACAGGUUUCGGAGCAGUAUCGGCCGUGAAGGAAGAGAACCAGUCAGCACUGGAUGAUGCUUAGUUUUCAAUGCACGUAACGUACAUUCCGAUACAGUCCACGCCAAGCAAAGAGCGCACCAUGGACGAAGAAAUGAAUGGAUGCGUAAAGGCAAGUGCAGCCAGCUACAUUGACGGUACGUAAAGUGGAAACUAGUGAAUUCAGUUCGCCGAUGAUGCCGAUGAUGACUGCUGUAUCUUAAGGAGAGAAUAUCAAGAGAUCAGAGAAGAGAAGAGCGAAGAGCGAAGGCGGCGGAAAGGGAAAUGGGGUUAUCCAGGAGUGUGCUUGGCGCGCAAGGCCAACACGUUCGUCCCUACGAUGGUGGGCGAUUGACCGGUAAGAGAAGUGCUGAAAAAAGCAUGAGCGGAUAUUAAAGCAAGAGAUAAGCCGUUGGGAUGCGACGCGACGAAGCGCGGGGAUCGCCCCAGUCAUAUAUGAAGGAGAACGUGUGUUUCGUGCGGUCAAGUCCGGUUGCCGUUAGAUAUGGCGAAAGACGGUAUCGCAAGCUUGCACUGCAUCGCAAAGGCCUUGGGAUCCACGUCGACCCGAAUAUUGCGCUGAUCGCGGUGGAGGAGAUAGAGCGGUAUCUUGAGGCGGCGGGCAUGGGCUAGGGCCCGAGGUCGCAUAGGUACCAACGCGUCCAGGGAACAGGAUAAUUUAGCCAGGGGAAAGGAAGGUCCAUAAAGAGGCUAAAAACAACCGAUGCCGCGGUAAAUCGCAGGGUCAGUGCGGACACGUCGUUCGAGUCCAGACACACACGAAUAUAGCCGUGAGGGUUGGCUACGCCCCCGUGGGGCAGAGUGUACUAAUGAGGACAGGUAAGUCGACAACAAGGUGCGCUCAUACCAUCGUCCGCAUCCCCCUCGCGCCACAGGUCUCUGGCCUGCCUAUCGGCUCCUAAGUACGGUCGGGUGGCGUGCACAUGGAUGUGCAAUGUCCUCAAAGACAGACACGACGCGGGCUGACGCAUGAUGGCGUGAGCCGGGACGCAUGGGAGCGAUUUCGAAGGGCCCUGGGUCGGUGUGCAAACGGAAUCAAAAGAAGGCGCCUCACCCCACCAUGCAUACUGACUAGUGACCACCUCGAGUGACUCGGAGCAGUGUAAAGACCCCGGGCAGGCCACGGACGUUUUCACGAACGUGACAGGCAACGUUCCAAGAUACCUAUGACGAAACGCAGGGUAGACUUAACCCGAUACACAAAUUGCGCCGGUUUCGCCCGCGCUAUUGACGACGGAUGCGACUUCCCCGGCCGGCCCGUCAGCAACAUAGCGCUGGGCAUCUUCCCCGACGUCGCGGACUGGAUCAUCUCCCCCGCGUUCCGAGCAACGACAAGAUCCUUAUCAUCGCGGCAUGCACACGACUUGACGAGGAGCCCGACUAUAUUCUCGCCAUCGCCAUACCCAACACACGUCUUUGCGCCCCCCUGCGAGGCGUUCUUGCCUCAAGACGGGAAGGUGAGGCUGAAAAAGAGGGUGCAGACGGACUGGCAAGGCCAGCGCGAGACCGUCUGGUCUCACAUAACGGGGCGGAGGGUAUGUCGCAAGCGAUAAGCCUGAGCAGCGAUGACGUACCAUGCCAAACUAGACACGUCCCGUGAAAGGCGUUGCAUGAUAGCCCCAAGUGCGGAAAUCUUGAAAGAACGUGCAGAUGAUACCGUGGUACGACUUGUAGACGAUUGUCCGACAACCCAGGCCCAUCGACGGAGCCCGUCCUAGGCGGAUAGUACAGAGUCCGAGAUCUUUGACAAGGCGUGGACGUCGGGUUUGCGCUGUCAAGUUGAACACCGGGCAACUUGUAUAUGGAAGGUUCCCAGGAAGACCGUAGAAUGGGUGCGCCUGGUAUGGAAAGUCAGGCCUGAGCUUGAUAUCGGAUGUUAAGACCGAUGAAUCCCGGAGAACUCAGCCGAAGGCAUACGAAGCAGCUGAUACCAUGCCAUUGGGCAGAGACCGAUGAUAAACCAGGCGACAGCGGGGAAAAAGUACAGAGAAAGCAUUCGAAACGGCGUGCUCGAACGUAGUAGGGGUGCGAGAAACUGUAGGCGUCCUACCCCAGGGCCUGUUCGGUGUCAUAGACCGGGGGUGUCAGCCUGUCAACAGCUUUUCCGGGUAUCAGUGAAAAACCACGGACGUCGGAUAAGAAUGGAAUCCCCACACCCCACCUCAGGCCCCAGCUUUGUGGGUACUGGAUAAAGGAUUUUCCUCCGAAGUCCGACCCGGUACAAAAAGCCAAAAUUCCAACCCAGGUAAAAGCCUGGACUAAUCGCGAGCAACGCUGUGCCUAAGCUGUGCGGCCCCGCGCCAUGUCGAACAGAAAAAAACCAGCGCGACUUGACCCCUACCGCCCCGCGGUGCAAGGCCUCCCGCCUUCCGCGCUCGGAACGAGCCGAGCGCGAGCUCCACCCGAUCAUAGGCGAGUCGCCUGCGAAGGGCAGCCGUGUCAUCCGCACGUCGAGUCAGAGAGACCUCACGCUAGGCCGCGCCUGAGCAUGGUGAGGGAGGCCCUGCUGGGCAGGUGCCCGAUGCCUAGCACGCAGACCGUAUCUGUACCUCGAGGUUAGGGUAGAAAAUAGAAUCGCGUGAUGAAUAAGAACGGACAAUGAUUGUGACGAGCUCACCCGAAAACGGAUUGCAUGUUCGGUUCUCGGUCUUUCAGAAGGAUUGACUACACGCUGCUGUCCCCAAGCAGCGUGUAGUUUUUGUCACCAAAUACCCAGCUGGCGGACGGACUCUUGAUGAGCAGCCCAGGUUCUCGUGGUUUUCAGACUUGCAAGAAGUCGCAAUGUAUCGCCAAGUGUCCGCUGCGAUGCCGUGUACGUAUGUUAGCCGAGGGUCUAGCAUGCUUCCUAGGACCAGCAGUGAGCAGCGACGAUCGGAAUGGCAUGGAAGAACGCACGGCGCAGGCCGAAGGGCGGAAGUGGAAGUGUAGAAUGAGUGUUGGGCCGUUGUUCUGGUGCACGGAUGCUGCGGGCGCGAGUGGUGGAACGCGGACAAGUACGUACACCCGGCGUCUAUCGCAUUAUCCCGCGCUUGGAGCUGUGCCACCGCGCGCGUCGACCGCUGAUGAUCGCGAGCUCGGGGUUCCGCCUCUUCCUUGUCCUCCUCCUCCUCUUCCGCUCCUUCUUAUAGUCGCGUCCGCUGAAAAUGUGUCCUCCGUUUGUGCAGACUUCGUCGUUGACGCUCACGGUGCUGACUGCCUUAUAGACCUGAAGAGCGUGCUAGAAUGGGGUCGUCACCGUGCUCACGGACGCCGACUCCGACUCCUCCCAUUUCUUCCCAGCUACCCGUUGGGUCUCCACAAAAAUGCAGAGCGGCUCGACAUCAGCACCGAACAGCCUGAGUCAGGCCGACGAAACCACCGUCGCCUCCGAGAUCGACGACGAGUUCAAGCUCCCGAAGAGGGCGUCCCUAGUCAUCGUCAUUUUUUCGAAUGUGCUCCUUCAGGUACGGGUGUCUCCUUUCGACCCAUGUUUGGCUAUAUGCUUACGAUAUACCCUUCUCUCCAGAACACAUUCUUUAUCGUCGUCUCGUCGUCAAACGAGUAUGCCGAAUAUCUCGGCGGCACAUCGACCUUCUCUGGCCUGACGAUCGGUAUCCCAACGGGGGUCGGGUUUCUUACACUUCUUCCCCUCACAUGGGUCGACAAAAGUGCGUCGCUGUCGCUGCGCAUCAUUCAUUUUGGUCUACAGGCUGACGACCCAUAGCCGUCUACAAACGCCCAUUACAUCUCAUGUGCGCAUCCAUGCUCGUCGGGAACAUCCUGUACGGCCUUGCGUACUACGCGAAUUGGCUUUACCUUAUCCUCAUUGGACGCAUGAUCUGUGGCCUCGGCUACACCUUCUGGAUGUACAACAAGCGCUACUGCUCGGACCCCCGCAUCGUCGGUGUUCGUCGAAGGACAACACUCGCCGGGUGGCUCGUCCUCUGCCAAGGACUCGGUUUCAGUUCUGGGCCGUUCUUCGGCGGUCUACUGUAAGUCCGCGUCUCCCAUCUUCGUCUUCUCCCAGCUUAAGUGGCUGCAGAUACAAGGUCGGGUUCGGCAACCGCAUUUUCAACGGCUACACCAGUCCCGGUUGGGUCAUGGCCGGAUGCUGGCUCUUGUUCUGGAUCGCCUGCGCCAUCUGGUUCGAGGACGUCCCUCUCACCGCCCAGAAGUCCGCCCCACCCCGGGCCAUCCCCUCCCCCAUCACGCGCGCCGGCUCCUACGACGAGAAAAAGGACGACCCCGAAGCCGGCGGCAUCAAGGACGCCGACGUCACCGUCGCCGAGGCAUCGCCGGCGGCGCCCGCACCCGUGCCCCACCACCACCUCAAGAUGACGCGCUACCAGAAGGGCGUGUGCGCGACGAUGUGCUGGUUCGCGAUGACGACGUUCUUCAUCCUCGGCGCAUGGGAGUCGAACCUACCCAUUUACACGGCCUCCGACGACCCCUCGAACCCGUUCAACUUCUCGCCCUACGCCGCGGGGAACCUCAUCGCGCUCGGCGGCAUCUGUACGAUGCCGUUCCUCAUCGCGAACCUCGCGCUCGCGCGGCGCGUGCAGGACCGGCACACGCUCGCGAUGGGCACGUCCGUCGGCGUGGCCGGGCUGCUGCUCGCGAUCGGCAUCAUCCAGGGCCGCAAGGUGACGUUCGGCACGCUGUGGCUCGCGUGGUUCCUCAUUGCGCUCGGGUUCAACGUCGCGAGCACGGUCACGCUCUCGCUCAUGUCGAAGCAGCUUCCGGGUGAAUGGAACAACCGGAUCAGCCUCAUGAUCCAGUACAGCAACUACACCGGGCGCGUCACCGGCGCCGUGUUCGGCGGCGCGGGGGUACAGGUGGGCAUGAUCAAGUACAUCGGGGUGCAGCUCGCGUGCGUGGCGGUGGGCUAUGCCAUGUUCAUCACCCUUUGGAAGCACAUGAAGGCGAAGACGGGGUAGAGGCUGGCUUUGGUAUGUGCCCGUCCCUCCCGUCCGGACAUUGUCGCUGUCCCGUGUUCUACCUGCAUUCCUCAUGUACUCUCAUCAUUAGAUCGUUUCUAGUCACACGGUUUCACGCGUCGAAUACGACCCAGUAUGUCACCACGAUAGAUUGUAGUUGCGUAGUCCAUGUAUCGAUGUAUAACAAUGUGAUGUUCGUCACACCCACGCGUUGGCAGCGAGGCAUCUUGAGAUAAGAACGGCGCCAAUGCCGUCACGAAUUCCGGGAACCCCGUGUAUCAUGUCGCCAUGAUAGAUACCGCCUCGCGAUGCGGCCAAUGUACCGUUCACGGCAUUAUUAGUUGGUCCCCGAAGAGUCUUAUGAUUUAUCCGACAUCACUAACAACGCAGAGCAUUAUAGACUACAACGGCCGCUCAGAUUGAAACGUCGUCCAACCCCUUCAAGUUCCCUGAAGCUUGAGAUUCAAAUCCACCUAGCAAUUGUAUUCCACUUGACAUGUCAAUGAUUUGAUGAUCACGAGCAUGGACUGUGACCAGCAUCGGCAACAUCAGGAGAAUCCGCAAAAGCGAGUGAAGGGCCCCUCCCGUCCAGGUAUUAACCCCACGAAGAUUGCCAAAGGCAGUAAGUACCCAGAAACCCUUGGCUAACCGCGGGCUGUUCACACUGAAUAGCAUUACGUCUACACCUUACCUACUCUUUAGAACUUGGACCACGAGAACUGCGGCGAGGCGAUUCAUGGCAUCUCAUGAUGCCAUUUUCCACUACUGUGUCGAUGUUCAACACCUCUGAAACCGAGACAAACUGGAUGGCUAACCUCUGUAUGACCUUCGGAGAAUGUCGUAACCCAGACCAGUGGAUGCGACGGGGAUAGCGGCGGCAGCGGCCAGGAACGGCCGGCGGGGCGCGAGAUGGGCAUUGCCACGUGGCGGCGGAGUCACCCGAUCUCGUCCGCGAGGAACUCGCUCCUUUUUUGGACACGCUCAUCAUCCUCGAUUCCUCAAUUUGUUUCCACCACUGUGGUUGACCAUCAUGGUUGUCUGUCCCAUGAUCAAUGCCAUUGCGUAUGCCACAAGUUCGCGCUACGCAUGUUCAACGUAUUUAUGUAUGUGGAUGCCGGCGCGUGUGGCCUUCGGGAUUGCUAUGCGUUGGUGUUCCCCUACACGCGAGUUUCGGACCAUCCUGCGAUCCUGGUCAUCAGCGCUGUCGUCGGUCGCUGUGAGGGCUGCCGCGGACAUUAUCAAAGGGUUGUUGAAGUAGAGUAUCCUCUCGUUGAUGUAUCGCCAAAUUCGUUCUGGGUCGGGGACCCCAUGCGCUUAUUUCUGUUUCUCCUUCAUAUACUACAACAACGGUUGCUCGAGAUCUUCACAACGUACACAGAUGCAUUCGAAGCCUUCAAGUUUCAAGUUUCUCGACCUCUUCGUGCGCAUGGGCAUUCGCGUAUUUCCCGAUUCCAUCCUACCCUCACUCAGAUCUCCCCGGCACAGACCUGCUCCAACCACUCGGGGUCGCUGCGAACGGUAGUGAGGUUCUCGUAGCCCUCCUUGGUGAUAACGACGACGUCCUCGAUGCGCACCCCCCCGACGCUCUCGUACCGUUUGAGCACCUCCUGGUCGAUGUGCCUCGAGUCGCGCACCGGUGCAAUCAGGUGCGGCGAGAAGUAGCACCCUGGCUCGACAGUCUAGCACACCCAUGUCAGCCUCCUUUUCACCAUCCACAAGCCCCGAUAUGAAGACAACUCACCACGACCAUGCCCUCCUCAAGCGGCAACCUCAGCCUCAAGUACGUAUAGAACGACUCAUGCCCGAGCGCGUGCUUCUCGAUCGUCGGGUUCACGUCGGGCUUGCUCGCGCUCGGCACGUCGUGCACGUCAAGCCCGAGCGAGUGUCCCAGGCCGUGCGGGAAGAACGCAGCGCUGACGCCGCUCGCGAGGAUCGCCUCCUCCGAGUUCCACGAGCCCGAGCCGGGCGCGUCGGGCGUCUUGAAGAUGCCGAGCCGCUGGAAGCCGCGCACGAGCGUGCGGUGGCAGAGGAGCUGCACUUCGUCCCAGUGCAGGCCGGGCUUGAGGGCUUCCAUCGAGAGCUAUGGAGGCCAUCACCGCGGGCGUGGAGGUGAGUCGUGGGUUAUACUGGGUGCGGCACGAAGAGGGACGCACCUUCUGCAUCUCGAGAACGAGCUCGUAGAUGGCCCGUGCCUCUGGUGUGAACUUGCCGCCAUUGCCGACAGGCAUAGUGCGCGUGACUGAAGGAUGCGCAUUAGUGAAUUCCGUCCGGAGGCUGAGGAUUAUAUGUUACCCACUGUCCGCAGCAUAGCAGUUCCACUCGCACCCAGCGUCGAUCAGGAGCACCUGCGGGUCGAGCACCCGCUCGUGGUCAUGCGCGAGGUCAUUCGAGUUGCAAUGAUCGUGCGGGCCAACGGGGCCCCAUGCAAACUCGCGAUCGUUGCAGCAGUAGUGCAGCGUCGACGCGCGCGUCGAUGCCGCCACGAUCGGCAAGUACGCCUGGUGCUCCGCCCUGAUUACGACACAUCAACGAUCCCAACACAAAACGUAUCCGUAUCAGACGUAGCGGGCAGACCUACCCUUCCCUGCGGCACGACGCGACGAAGAGCGCCUCGGCCUCGUACUCCUUCUGGAUGAGCCACUCGCUUGGGAGCAGCGGGCGUUCCGUGCCCGCGCCCUUGCCGCGCGUGAUCUGGCCGCGCACGCCCUGCCCGAGGACGCGCAUGACCGUCUCGUGCGCGCGCGAGCUGAUCGCGUUCGCAUGGCGGAUGAGCGCGAUCUCCUCCGCGUCCUUGAUGAGUCGUGCGCGGUGGAGCGCAGACAGGAGGUGAUCCUCCGUGACGCUGACAUCGCCCGCGAGGAACGCGGCCGUGUAAUCCGCCGGGAUCGUCGGGAAGAGCGGCGAGGCGGGGAGCGUGUGCACGAUCGCGCCGGGGAAGGCUUUGAUCUGCGCCUGGAUGGCGUCCGGGAGCGCGGCGGGGUGUGCGAUGUGCGUGGCGUCAUACAUCGCCUCGGCCUCCGCGAGCGAUGGAGGGGGCACGGACCACAUGAGAUCUGCGAGCUCCGCCUUGGGGAUGAAGAGCUGCGUGGAGGGCGAGUUUGCAAGCGACGUCCAGUUCUCGAAGGUCAGCAGGGCGUAGGAUGAUGGGACCUUGCAUCCUGUCAGGUAGAAAAAAUUCGACUCCUACGAUGUGCUAUCAGCGUUUGAGUUCCUUCUCCAAAGCUUCCCCGUGGACUGAUGUGGCCACUGACCUGCCGGAAGGGCAUCUCGCGAUCUGUGUCAUUGCGGAAUGGGGUUACUUCUCCUGCCAGGAGAAGGAUCUGAGGCUGUAGAAGGAAAGUUUAAUGGCGCGGAUAUGCGAGAAGGUCCUGUGUAAGUUGUGAGUUACCUUGUUCUGUUCGGCGGCAGGCAGCAACUCGAUGAGUUUCGUGAACGUUUUCAACACAUGUUGAGAUGCUUCGAGCCACCAGUUCAAAACGCAUAUUGCACCAUGUCAGCGCAGAACAUACCGGGGUAUGAUUUGGGAGCCAUUUUGCGGGUCGUAGCUGUUAAGUAGUGCGCUUCGUUGUGGUGGUCAAGAGCCUCGAGCGAUAUCGGACGGACCUUCCCGUGCACGGCGCGCUCUCCCGGCCUGACGGCCCGUGUCGGUGAGGUGGGCAUACCCGGGCCGUCCUUGAACGCCUUUGUCUGAUUGAUCCGGAGCCAGGCAUCUCUGCAAACCCAUUCUCCUUCCGUAUUUCAGACGGUUCAGCACUUCAACUCAAUGUCUCUCAACCCAUGCCAAGCAUUUUGGUGCACGAAGGAUAAUUAAGGCUUUUAAUUCAAGUAGUCUAUGGACUGGGAAGGCUGAAACUGCUUGCAUCCCCUGCUCAAGACUCGGACGAGAACAAACAGCUGGGGGAGUUGCAGGGCCACCACACCCAUGUGUUUCCUGAAAAAAUGACGAGUUUUAUUUCGAUCGUGGUUCCCAGCUGUUGUCCGGAGAUUCCUAAGCCGGUGUCGCGACGUACAUUCUCAAAGUACGCACCACCCAAAGGGAAGCGGGCCAAGAGUUACGCCACUCUAGUACGUCUGUUGCCAAUACCCCUUUCCCGCUGUAUGAUAAUAAUGGCGGUCGCCACCAUCUCUAGCUUCCCUGAUGACAAGAAGCUGAAGUUCUUCCCUCUACGUCGAAAGGAGCUCCCCUUCCCCUUCCCUGAGUUUUCUCACGGCUACACGACGGCUCCUGACCUCGCCAUCUCAUUCCCGGGGACACCUCCGCAGUGUCGGACUGGCAAAACACUGCCAUGUUUAUUCAUGUCAAGGGAAACAGGUCCGACGAUCCUUUCGAACAGAGCGAUCUGCUGAUGGAUUCGGAGCAUAGCGCGGCGGUCGUUCAGCUUGCCAUCGGGGCUCGGGCCUUGAUGGCCGUCCAUGGCCACUGCCGUGUUCGUACUCGGUAUAUAUGCUACCACCUGCCGCGUUAUACGGGUAAAUCGCUUGGGACCAUGAGUUGCAGAAAUGUCGAGGGGUUUCCCUUAAAGACGUGGAUGUGGUCAACCAACUCGCUCUUCCAGUCUUCGAGCUGGCCGUCCCUGGUGGCAUUCUGAACGGUCAUUGCGAUUGCCUUUGACUUCCCGAACCGGGGGAGUGGUCUUAGACACCAUGCCAGAGAUAUACGAGAGGAUCUUGAAGGAGCGCGAGGUCAGAGAAUAAAGAGCAUAUAUGCAAGGUGGGCUCAUUCACGGACAACCACUGGUGGCAAUACCACGUGGGUGACCAAGGUGUUACUGUAUGUCGGUGACAUUCAUGUCAUCCUUCCUCUGGCAAAACCGGACAGGUAAGUCUGAAGCUAUCAACUUCCUUUACAGCUUCGUCUAUCGUGCACGACGUCGGUGGUGAGAGAAUGUGUCGGUCGGUUGGCCUAGGCACGUCGGCGCUAGCAGCCUGCCUCCGAGUCACAGUCACGGGCUCAGCCCCGGCAUUCAGUGCUGGUGACGAAAAGAUUGCACAGAGUGCCUCAGAGCGUUAACUCGCGCUGAAAUAUAGCGCAAAUUAUGAAGGCAGCCAUUUAGCUGGUAGUGAUAGUUUGGGAGAGCGAAUAAACAAUACGAUUCCCGCACAUAGUCAGACAACUUGAGGGAUUGAGAAGAGAGUACAUUGGGUACAAUUACAUUGUAAUGAUGAGCUCGCUUCUUUCAAAUUCAUACAUGUCCAAAAGUGAUACAACGUCUACUACCAUGCGUCAGGAAACCGGGGUCUCGGGGCCAUCAAGUCAUGUCCAAUACAGGCACUGGCAGAAUUAAAUGUCUGCGGGAGAGGGAAUAUUUGUGUGGUGAAUGGACGUCGAGACAUUAGCAUGGAGGGCAUCCUGAGAAGGCCGAUACAUUAUCGGUCAGAUCGCAAGGAAAGAGUACUCGGCCAACGAGCAGCUCCGGCACAAGGCGACUGUCCCAAUGUCCCGCUCGCAGUCGCCAUCAUAGACGCGUCGCUCGACGCUGUAGCCCGUAUCGCCAAAGGGGGUGCCGGAAACGACGCCGAGUUCCGGGCCGUGAGCGUGGAAAUGGAUGGAAUCCACCUGGGAGUCGGAUCCGCCUUCGCUGCCCGAUAAUCCGAGACUCGACGAGGAAAACGACGCAGAGAACGCGUUGAGGAGGGCCGCGUAGCGCGUGUCUCCGUCCGCCUUUCCUUCGUAGUCGGUUCCCAUAUCCGAGGAGAACGAGCUGUCCGGCGUAUCCGUCGGUGGCGUGUCGAAUCUACCAGCAAAGAUUGAAGGUGGGGGGAACCCGUCCGCACGGGUAGAACGCAGAUCAACGAACACCGUCUCUGGAAUCUUUAAGUCCUCCUGGGUGGGUACCUUGACGGGAACCACAGAUGGCUCGCAAAAGGGUAUGAUCGCUGAGACCGAUCGCGCCGAGUCCGGCAGAGUUACUGCUUGGAUCGGAGGGCACCCCGCGGAGAUAAUGGGAGGGGUCUGGGGCUCCCAGGUCGAGGCCGGACUUGCUGUUCCGCUCAUGAGAGCAGGCGUCGACACCGUCGAAGAGCUGUCCGAGUCGUCCAAAAACGCAGGCAGCAACGAUCGGUCCCGGGGACUGCCGUCAUCCUCGAGCGGAUCAUGAUCGAAGGUGGCCAGGGAAACAUUGGUCUCGAAGGCAAGCCACAUCUCCCUCCUCGCAGGAGGACGACUGUCACGGGGGCUGGGAGGCAAUCUAGUGUACCUAUCGUCAACAGGAGGAUUCGGAGGAGAGGGACCGAUUGCGGCGUCAGAAUGGUUUCUCUGGAGCUUGUGCAUGAGCGUUUGGAGCCACGGGUUUGGUGUGGAUGAGGGGCGAAGAGCUACCACAGGGAGAGGAAGGAGAGACGAACGAGAGGGCGGGAUUCCAGAUGUGGCUUCAUGACUCUUCUCCACCUCGACUUGGACAUGGACUUGAGUGGUGGAGGCAGGAAGACGGCGCUGGCGACCUCGGAACAAGAAUAGCCAAAUGGUGAUGGAGACAAGGGCGGAUGCAAGUACCAAGAAGAUGAGGGAGAUGAUCGUCACGUAAGAGAAGGGCCGAGCGGCGCUAUGGAGAAACACAGGGGCCAUGUGGGACGAAGAUGGUCGAUGAAACGGGAGAGAAUGAGAGAGGCAAAACGUACUGUACUUCGAGGCGGCGUUCAAGGAUCACUGAGGGAGGACGGUAACAAGUCUUUCCAAGAGAUAUGCGAGGACUUCUUGUAAGUCGUCCAUUGAAGUAUGCUCCGUGGAGGAGGCUGACUGUCAGCACAAGAUCCUGCGGUCCCAGUGGUCAGCCGCCACAGAAGAAACUGAGCAUACCGCAACGAUACCGCCGAGGAAAGGCCAUGCCCGUUCAUCCUCUUCGUCCUCCCCCCCAAGAUCACGACGCCGCGCUUGGUCUAAAGGAACCUUGGGAGGGGACCAAAACUUAGAGCGAUGGUGCCAACAUGAGCGAAAUCGUGCGACGUCCUGUGAAGCUGAAGGGUCACUGUACGCUGCCGAGAGAGAACUGUGCCUUCUAGGAGGGUAGGUGUGAGACAGUCGAAAGGAAGAUACAGCGACCAAGACCAGAGGAUGUCGAGUAUGUUGGCGGGAGAAAACAGCGUGUCCUGUCCAUGAUUCGGUCGCGGAUUGAAAUGGCGCCCGUGGUUGUCCUAUUUAGGCAACUUAAGCGCUGUGAUCCCCGCACUAUAUAAAUUAAAUUUCAAGUGGCGGCAAAUGGUCGUGUCGGAACGUCCCUGCCAUCAUCUUCACCAUCUUCAAAGGGCCUACGUCCGAGGUUGUUUCAUGGGUGGCGACAUUGAAGUAAGUGGGGUUCAUACUCCAGGACAUAUGAUUGAGUGUCAACGGUCAACGCACUACUUACCUAUGCCAGGAUCGCUACUAGUCCUCCGAGUCCACCAUUGGAGGCCCGGUCAUCAGUCGCAUACUAGAGGCACCGUUCCGAUUAAUGGCACCUUCAAAGAACUACCAUGUGCAUAUAAAUCAAAUUCCCCCCACUUUGCGCUCGUUGAGGAAGCUCCGAGUCGUUGAUACAGAGAACCAGAUUGUACAACACACACUGUCGCGACUCAUGCCGUUCAUUCCGGUUUCAGCUCCCGGGCAAUGUCGAUGGCUCGAUCUCGAGCCUCCAUGAUGCUGCUCGUGAGUAACCAGUCGAACUGUUCUCGAAGCGCCUCCCCGACCUCUGCUAGCUGUUCAGACGCAAAUCCUCCCGCCGCGCUUUGCUCCGGCGUGACGUUUUCCCAGCCGAGGGUAUUGAAAUGGUAGAGCAGACCGUUCCUCCGGGAGCGAUGCAGGACCAUUUCCGCGAACGGUCGACGGAGUGAGUCGUAAAUACCGAGCGCGGUGGGGAGAUUCCUAAUCGUGACUGAUGGCUGAGCGAUUAUGGCCGCGAGGAUGAAGCCGUCCUGUGGAAAGAUACGCCUGAUUUGUAUGCACAGGGACGGGUGAUGGCAUGAGCGAGUACCUCGAGUGCUUGGCUUGCCCCUGCACCAAGAUGAGGCGUCAUGGCGUGUGCCUGAGUGAUGUUUUGCGUGUGAGUGUCGUUACAACGGUUCAGCGAAGCAAGGACUCACCGCGUCGCCUAUCAGCGCGGCCCUGCCGCUCACAUAUGUCGGGAGUUCGCGGACAGUAUGCACCGCCCACCGCAGAGGGUUUUCCAAUAUCUAAUCACAGUAGACGUAACGAUCCGCUGACGGUCAUGAUCAUGCUGUAGAGGGGGGGUGGAUGAUUUAAGCGUACCCCAAGCAUGCGUGGUAUAUCUGGCGACCAGUCUAUGAAAUGUUUCUGCACCUUGUCUCCUGUGGUUGUGGAGACCCAAGGACCAACGUAGACUGUAUCCUCGCCUCCGGGGUGGUUGAUGAAGGCAGCAACAUUUAACAUCUCUCCCCUGUUGAUGGGAUACUGAACGAUGUGCUACGAGCCGUGUAAAGCGUCGGCGUAUGAUGAUAACAUGAUGGUCAUUCAAAAAAGAAAGCUCACCUUGUUCUUUCCGAGGAGCUGGUCCGACGGAGCGCUACAUCCAUCAUGGCUCGAUGACAGUAUAAAAUACGCUCAACUCACGAACAUAGGAGAACCUGCGUUCUUGAAACCCAAAUCUUUCAGUGCCAACCUUGGUAUCAAACCGCGGUACGCAGUCUGUCCGGACCAUACGGGGUCUACCAUCGACCGCAGCCGAGAGGCCUCGUCCAUGUUCCCUCGUGCGCAUGCUUCGUCGGAAAGGGAGUUGAACAUAGAUCGCCUCACCGCCGAUCGGAUACCGUCGCUGCCGACAAGAACGUCGCAAGUCGCUGAUGUGCCAUCGCGGAACUGCAGGAAGAUCGGUGCACAUUGCUCGAGGGGUUCAGCAUAGGAGACGAGGCGUUUCGAGAAGUGGAUUUGGACGCUGGGGUCGAGAUGCUUGGCCAGGAGCUGUUGCAGCACAGAUCUAUGGAAUGUGUACACUUCGAUCAACAUCAACUCGUCAGCACGGCAGACACGUAGUAUAGGUGAUUGAGAAUAACAUACGAGAAGGAGGAAGUUUGAAGAAUUCGAUGGAUUCUGCCUCGUCGGCCUUGCAGAUGUUGACAGCUUGAGCUGGGGGUACAGUGUUAGCGAUCACGGUAGGAUGAUAGGAAGAAGAUGUAACGCACCAGUCCGGUUGCUGCCCCCAGAGACCUCCCUCAGCGCGGCGCCGAGGCCGAGAUGCUCGAUAAUUUCCCACAUUCGAGGCCACAUACCGACUCCCGCUCCGAUCUCGGUGAGCUCAGCCGUGGACUCAUAGAUAUCAAUCCGUACGUCUUGACAGCUUUUCUGCAAAGAAAGAGCAAGCAACAACCCUCCGAGACCUGCGCCUCUGAGUCGGGAAACAGGUCAGCGAAUCCUAGGUUUCUGGACGAGAUAGGCCAGAGGAAUUGUACUUGCAUGAUGGCAACGUGAAGCCGAGGAAUGGUCGGCGUUGUUUGGGACAUGUCGUUUCUAGUGAAUGCGGCUCGGUCGCCUUUUGGGUCGUUUUAUACCCACUUCGCAGGUGCUGUUGCGGACCGUGAGGACAGGCUGGCCGUCACUGGAAACCCAAGCCUGCACUUUGAGAUUUGAAACUACGCUCCAGGACCUAUGUGAGAGAUAGCCAAACGGACUUGAAAUUAGCAUCAAGAUCGAAGGGCUAUUGUAAGCCCGCAUCUAGCGCAGCCAAAAAAUGGGGCUCAGUAUAACCCGUCGUGAGGUAGUCCGAACCGCCAGAGGGAGAAGCGCGGGAGGAAUCAGAACUUACCAAUAAGAUUGUUGCCGGAAACUUGGCGCGGAGCACGAAUAUGAUCCUGCGGUGGCCGUUGGUCAUUACUUUGCGGGCUAAAGUGGGCCCGACUGAGCGACGUACUAUGAUGUCUCUCGUCCGACCGCUGUCCUACCCCCUAACCGCUCCUCUCAUCACAUUAUCUUGAAACCGAGUCACGGUUCUGUCGGAGUCGUCAGCAUCGUUUACCGCAUCGAUAUGGGAUACAAAGGCGUGAGGGGCUGGCAGAUACGGUGUAGAGAAGAGACAAGUGCUUACAAAUACUGUCGAUGCUCCGAUCCAACAUUGGAUUGGCCGGUGGCACCGCGAACAUGUCGCCCUCGCCUGGGAAUGGGAGACGGCGAGGUGUCAUGAAAAUCAGACUCAGAACUACACUUCAAUUGUGAAGAGUAAGGGUACCCACCCGUCAGCCGGCAAUCCACUCCCGGUUCUUCGAUCGGCAAAAUACGAUGUAGGGGAACCUGUGAUCGUUUAUGUCCAUAUGCUUUCGAUCACUACGUCCGCGAUGAAGUACUAGAAACACGAUCAUGAGGUGGCGCCGCUCUAGGAUGGCGCAAUUGGAUUACUCACAACGCUCUAUCGUAGAGGAAGGUUGGCGAAUGAGGCCCCGGCCGGGGCAGAAACCAAGGACCGUCGCACCCGACACCCUAUGGGAGUUCACCAACGAAGGAGGUCGGAAUCCGAAUGUUCGCCAGUCACGUUCGAUCCUUUGAGAAGUCCGUGGCGACGGCACAUGCCAACGAGCUUAAACUAGCUGCAAAGAUGUGAUAGGUUCAUGCCGUCC
rnacentral:lncRNA from 1 species